GGUUGGAAAGAGUUUGUUGCAUAUUACUCUCUUGAUGAUGGCUAUGUGUUAUGGUUUGAGUAUAAUAUUGGAACUUCUCACAUUGAAGUACAAAUAUGUGACAUGAGUGGCCUCCAAAUAAAGUAUCCUGUCAAUGAUCAGAUCAAAGAGCACCCGCCACAACACAGGGGCCAUCCGGUGAAAAGGCCAAAAGAACAACAAACUAUAGACGUGGAUAACAGUCCCAACACUCAAAACAUGAGACUUAACGAGGGACGGCAGGAGAAAAGAUUGAAUGAACCAAUGUCAGGAGUCGGGGGCCAAUCGAGGAAAAAACUGAGAGCACCAGUGUCAUCUGCUUCUAAAGGUAGACAGUUGGAAAGUGACACACAAAUCAGAGAAAGUAUUAAAUCUAAAAAGAAAAACCAUAAGAUGCCUGUCAAUCAAGAUUCUAAUGGUAUGUGUCUCACGAUUGGAUCAUCCUUUCCUUUUGUGGAUUCAACCGUUAUUACUUGCAACUGCUUCUAAUUCUUUGUUUCCCAUGUACAAGGCAAAAGAAAUAGAAAAAGAAAAGAUUCUGAAUCUUCUGUUAGGCCCUGUCUUGCAAGACCUAAAUCUCUGAAAGAAGCUAAGUUCAAGUGGGAAAAGCCCUCUUUCAUCAUCAAGAUAAAGCAACUGUCUCAAACGAGAGCACCAUGUGUAAGUAUAGGUUAAUACAUAUAUCCGUGUUGAAAAUUAUGUAUCAUGUGAAUCUCUAUGUGCUAUCAUUCUUUCAAACUUUGUCUUAUUUCUAACGAUAAUGACAUAAAUAUGAUGUGCUGCAGUACUUUUCAACUAAAUUCUUCAGGAAGUAUUUUGUAAAUAAUCCACAAAAUGCAAAUAUAAGGUUUGGAAAGAAGUUGUUCCCUGUUAAGUUGAUCUAUAGGCCAUCAUCAUGUGAUGCCUUUAUCUCUGCUGGUUGGAACUUUUUUGCUCGAGCUAGUAAAUUACAAGCCGGAGAUGUUUGUUUGUUUAAGCUCGUCAAUAGAAAAGAUCCAGUGCUUGAUGUUCAUAUUUGUCGUCGACAACGCCGCGGUAAGGCAAUUGUUUAGAAAUUCUUAAACUGUGUUAUUCUGUAAAAAAAUUAAGAUAUCAGUCCAACAUUGAAAACGUAAUUAACUUUAAUAAUGGAAUAGGAUUUAGCAUUAUCCUCAUUAAAAAAAAUUAUAUUAAAAAUUAAUUGAUCCCGUGUUUGACUGAGAAUGCAAUUAGCUUAUAACUGCAGUGACUAUAUAUUUGGUUUUUAAUGUAAUCACAAUUUGUUAUAUAAACUAAUCUUAUGAUAAAAUUUUUGUUGGUCUCCAACCCUAUAGAAAUAGCUUGUAUCUAAAACUCUCCACAAGUAAGAUUUACACUAAUUUUUUUACAAUUCUAUUAUGAUAUCAGAGUCACUUUCCAAACCAGUGACUCAUGGGAUUCAGCUCCUGAAAGAAGUUGAGGAGCUCAAUUCACAGAAUCCCUCUUUCAUGGUCAAGAUAAAAGACAGUGAUCCAAGAAGAUCAAGGCCUGUAAGUUUAUUUCUUUUCUGUGAUGAAACAUAAUAUGCCAUACAAACUUUUUUGAGUGCUAAUUUAUACUUAAUUUCACAAAUUGUAAGUUUAUAACUAUUUUUAACCAUAGUGAUUCAAAAAUGAAAUGUGGUGCAGAACUUAUCAGCUAUCUUCUACAGAAAAUAUUUUAAAAAGAAUCAGCAGAAUGUAAAGUUACAGUUCGGAAAGAAGUUGUGGCCUGUUACGAUAAUCUACAAUCCGUCGUCAAGAAACACCUUUAUUUCGGCUGGUUGGAGCUCUUUUGCUAGAGCAAGUAAAUUAGAAGCUGGAGAUGUUUGUGUUUUUGAGCUCAUCAAUGAAAAAGAUCUGUUUAAUGUUCAUGUCUGUAGAGUCCAAUGCUAGGCUAAUGUAUUAUAACUUCAGGAACUAAGAGCUCUUAAUUCUUAGACAAGUUAAUUUUGUGAAGAAUGUAUCAGCUUUCUUUUGUUGAAUCAAACUUCUACUGUAUCCUGUAUUCCUAUCUUUUUUGGUGUCACUAGUUAUAUAUAUAUGUAUGAACUGUUUUAAUUUUACUUCUUGUUUUGUCACUUCAUGAUUUGCAUUGUUUAUCUUCUCAAAGUGAAGAUAUGGUUGUGUUUGGUAUAGGGAUAAAAAAAAAGUGAGGCAGAAUUUUCAUGGAUUUUUACCUAUGAAUCUAAUCGAUCAACUCAUUAAAAUAGUAUAUCAUAAAAAAAUUGAAGAUUAAGAAAAUAUAAAAUAAUUAUAAUUAAUUUUAUGUCUAUUAUAAUUCCAAUAUUUGAAAGAUUUUUUUUAGAAUACUAAUGUACUAAAUUUGUGCUUUUUAUUUUGAGAGAAAAUCCACAGUUAAAGAACCUUAUUGAUACAUUAAAGAUAAAACCAUUUUUAAGUACUAACACCAGAAUUUUAAUCCUCUAUAAUUAAGAGUUUAAAUAUAGUUUUUGGUUUAAAUAUAGUUUUUGUGUGUAUAUAUAUAACUGCUUAUAUAAGUAGCGAGUUGGUCAUGUAUCUAGCAUUAGAUUUGAUGACGGUUCUUCUUGGUAUUGCAUCAAGUACUUUCAUGAGAGUAGAGAGUAGAGACAACUCAUAUUGAGGGUAAAAUGAUAACUUCAUCAUCCACCACCGCCUAAAUACUCUCCAUGGCUUCCUUUAUUUUCCAAACAAACAAACAUUCUCCUUCCUCUCUGAGCUGUUUCUUUAAGAUUGGUCUCAAAAAAAGCCUUGAAGAUGGAAACCUUGUAAGCAUUUUCUUCACUUCAUAUCCUUUUUACUUAUAAUAUUAUUUAAUGCAUGCAUUUCUCUUUGUGAUUUUUCCCUUGUAAGGGUUUCUUCAUUUAUGCUUAUUACUAAGACUAGUUUCAUACUUUUAUUUGAAUUGCAGAAGUUAACAAAAAAGUUCAGUAAGAAAUAUGGUGAUAGUCUUCCAAAUCCAGUGUAUCUGAAGCCUCCAGAUGGCACUGCAUGGAAGAUAGAUUGGUCUUUGUAUGAUGGUGUGAUUCUAUUUGAAAAUGGUUGGAAAGAAUUUGCUUCAUAUUACUCUUUGGAUAAUGGCCAUAUGCUGUAUUUUGAGUACAAUGAAACUUCUAACAUUGAAGUACGCAUUUUUGACAUCAUUAGUGGCUCUGAAAUAGACUAUCCUUCCUUGGAUCACAUCGGCCAUGACAAUUCGAUUGAGAUCUUGAAUGAACUGCCGCCACGAGGCUGGCCGAGGAAAACAGAAGUAUCAUCUCCUUCUACAAGUAAAAGAUUGAGGAGUUCUGUCAAAACUGGAGAUGUAGAAAAGGGCCCUGAUGAACAAAACUGGAUGCAGUGUUGCAAGAAUGAAGAAGCUAGUCAAUCUGAAGAGACAAGUCUUAAGAUGCCAACAAUUCAAAGUGCCAGAGUUGAUCCUGAUAGUAUGUAAUUUCAUGAUGAGUUCAUCCUUUUAUUUUCGUAGAUUUUAAUGUAUGUCUUUGUGGCUAAAAUGCAUAAAUCAUAGUUACAAAUUCACCAAAUAGGUAGCGUACGCAUAUAUUCCACAUAAAAUAUUUUACAUAUGGCGUACUCUAAAAAAUAUCAGAGCAUAUUGCAUUUCAUGUAACUAUGUAAUAAAUAUCUUAUUGUUCUUAGGCUGUGUUCAAAUUUUGUUCAAAUGAAUAAAACUUACUGUGUUGUUUGAAGCUUGAACUUAGCUACAAGUAACUUCUAUGCAAAUUUUUAUGGUGUACAUGUAAAGUUGUUCGGAAGCAAGGAAGAUCAAAGAAUCCUUAUUUUCCAUAGUGUAUUCAUGGCAGACGAAGUUUCGAAUAUAAAUGGUGGUUCUUCUUCAAGUGACAGUGUGCCUGUAGUUUCACAAGUGAUUUAAAAUAGGAUAUGAUGACACAUGUCACUCCACUAACAAAGUUAGUUCUUACAGUUACUAUUUUAUUUCUCAUUAAAACCUGGGAUCAAAAUAUCUUACAUCACAAGUAUACUUACAAGAAUUAGAGUGAACAUUAGCCCUUCCUCAGCAUUUCAACAAUGAAAUACUUCUAAUGUAAUAGUUCUUUGGUUUCAAAAUGUUGAUCACUUUUGCAUCUCUACAUUACUUCUUGACUAUAUCUGAAUAAGCAAUAGUGACAAAAGAAAAACAGAUUAAACAUUCUAAUUGCCCUGGAAAUCACUGUAGUAUCAAGAUUUGGCUACAUCAAUAUGGAAUGAAAAUUUGAAAUCUGAGGAGAUGUUUGCUCAUUUGCGUUAUCAACUUUUUAAAUUAUAUUUGCAUUUAGGAUGAUACAGAAGGUAUAAUCCGUAUAAAAAGAAUAUUACAGCUGUAGUUUAAGGCAUAAUACAACUGUUGCUAUAGGAAAUCAUAUUCCACACUACAAUUGCUAAACUAUUGAAUCUCGAUAUUAUAUGCAUUUUCUGUACAGAAAUUACAGAUAUAUACAACAAAAGUGGAGCUGCAGUUUGGGCUGCCACCAAGAUUAAGCAAGACAACUUGUCGAUGCAUGAUAGGCGUCGUCCACUUGCCAGCCAUAUAGAAACACGCGCCCAUGUACCAGACCUGGAAGUAAAAACCGGCUAGAUAAGUUGCGCAAUGGAAGAAAAAAUACAGGUUAACCGAGCUAUACUGAGUAAACGGGAUGCUGAAAGUGCAGUAAUAUCCUAUUAAUUUGUUCUUCAAGUGUUCCCUAGGUUCAAGUUAUGGCACAGAUUUGGUAUGUAAUCAAGAAACUAAUUGCUUUUCCAAGGUAAUGAAUGAAGAGGAUAAGUUCUAUGUACUUUCAGACAAGAAACUUGUGUAUGCUAGUAGCAAAACUAAUUACAACUCUUAGUAACAAAUUUUGCAUCAUUUAUGACAGAGAAAAUGGUAAUGGAGAAGGAUGUGUAACUCACAGUUGCCAGCAGAAAGAUAUUUAGAAAUGAAGUCAGCUGAUACAUCUUCUUUCACAACUAGACAUUUAUGUUUCUCAGAAGAAUCAACUGAGAUAAUUGGUUCCUGGAGGGAUAUAUCUUAGAAUUAACACAGAUAUUGCCACAGCAGUGAAUGCGAGAAGGGUACCCACACUAACCUGCAGAUGACUAAGGGGAGUGGAUCCUCUCCAGUGAAUAAAAAACUGGAUGGUGUGCAGUGUUUAAUCUAACCAUUCACCACAUUCUUUCUCUUAUUUAUUUUUGGUCCCACUAUUAAAAUCAAAGGUGAGAGAUUGCACUGUAUUUUGUCAAGUGUUGAAAAAACUGGAGAUGAUUCAUUUCCAUGACUAAGCCAAAUACACUUUUAGUGCUUCAAAUACACUAAAAUACACUUUUGGGUAAUUUUAAAAUAAAAAAUAGCAACUAUAUAAUUAAGUUUGUAUUAUUAAAUUAGAAAGAAAAAAUUGGAUUUGAUUUUAAUAAAUUGAAAUAUAAUACUAAAUUUAAGUUUGAUUUUAAAGGACUAAAAUACACUUUUAGGUCAUUUAAAAUUUAAAAAAAAUAGCAACUAUAUAAUUAAGUUUGUUUUAUUGAAUUAGAAAGAAAAAAUUGGAUUUGAUUUUAAUAAAUUGAAAUAUAAUAUUUAAUAUUAAAUUUAAACAAUAAAAACUAUUUUAGAAUUAAGUUUAUUAAAUGAAUUAAAAAAUAUAAUUUUGAAUUAAAAUUUUUAUUGGAGUUUAUUUAUGAAAUGAAACCGAUAUCACUUUAGAGAUACAGUAUUACAUUGAUAGAGAACCAAUAAAAUUUUGGUACUUAUAUAAUUAUGUUGAUAAAAUAAUUAAAAAUAAAAUAAAAUUCUAAUUGAACUAAUAUUAGGUAUUAGAGGAACAAAAUUUAUUUUUAGUUUUAAAUCACUAUUUAUAAUGUAUAGUCUCACAAAUAUUUUUAUAGAUCUAAAAUAAAAUAAAAUUAAAAUUAGCAUUGAAAAUGCUCUCAUAAUUAAUUAUAAACAUAUUCAACAAUAUAUAUACAAGUACAAAUAAUUAAGUUGCAAUAUUUAAAUAAGAGAAAAUUUCAUUCUCUUCCCUUGAGAAAUGCUAAAAUAAUACUCUCCUUCCUUCUAUUUAUAAAAUGUACAUUUUUCUUCCUUAUAAUUUUUAAAAAAUUUCUUCUUUAAUUCAUUUUAAAAUUUUUGUAUUAACUAAUAUUAACUUUAUCCAUUUUUCAAAAAAAAAUUAUUUUUAUAAAAAUAUCCUUUAGUAUUAAUUAAAAAGGAAGUUUUUUAAAAAUUAUAAAAAAAUAUACAUUUUACAAAUAAAAGAGAGGUGAGUAUCAUUUUAGUAUCUUUUAGGAGAGAAGAGUAAAAUUUUUUCUUUAAAUAAUGUUACGUCAAAAUAUUUAAAGUACUUUUAAUUGUGUAAAAUAUCAUGUAAAUAACUAAUUUAUUGAAUUAAAUUUAGAUCAUAGGAUUUAAUUGGUAAAUUUAUUUUAAUUAUUAUAUAUCUUCUUCAUAAUUGUAUUUUAUUGGAAAUAUAUUUUAGAAGUUAUCAUUAAUUAAUGUGUUUGCAGUUAACAUAAACAAAUUUAAAAAGAUUGUUGCCAUUCUCUUCACAGAAUGUUAGUGUAGUUAAUUAAGUAUUGCACAAGUCAACAAUACAGAUGCCAUAAUAAACUAGUGCAUGUACACCACGUAUCUAUUUAUUUUAUCUUUCUUUUCUUUCUCGAAAUUAUUGUCGAUGAAUUAUUUUUCUUUUACAGUGUUAUUUAUUUAUUCUAAAGCAUGCAUGUCUCAUUUUUCCCAGAUUACCAUCAUCCAUAUUAUUUGUAACAAAAAAUUCAGUUCCAUCGAUAAAAAAAAGCAAAAGAAAAACAGAAGAAGAAGUUUGGCUAAUAUAGCCCACCAAUAUUCCUCAAAACAAAAAACGAAGGCUCAAGACAAAAAUUGCUUCUGUGACAUCCAAUCAACAAACAUGCAAAUUAAACCUGCUGCAUGUAUUAUGAUCAUGAUUAAGUAAUACAGUACAAAAGAAAAUUAACAAUAUAUAAUAGCAAGAGAAGAAGAAGAAGAACAACGUCAAUAAUAAAUGAAGGUAUAAACUAUAAAGCAUCAACGGUCACUUUUUAAUCUAUCAAAAGAUUUUAAAUAAAUGAAGAAAUGAAUUAGAAGAUAUGGGAGUACAAUCACAUCAAAUAUCUUUGAUGCUCUAUAAAUUCUUAAAAGCAUCACAAGCAAAGGAGAGGGCCAAAAAUGAGAAAAUCCAUAAAGCAAACGAACUUAAGAAGCGAAUUUUUUUUAUUACAUAAAAAAUAUUUCUGCAGAGAAUAUCAUAGUUAAAAAAAAAGUUGGAGAAGAAAAGUGAGAACUUUUAUUUUUAAUAUUAGAGUGGUAAUAGUGUUUUAUUAAAAUGUAAAUUAUUGGGGUGUUAUUCUUAAAUGUGGGAUCGUUUUAAUUAGAGAAAUAGAAAUCAAACCAUUUAAUUUAUUAGAAGUACAGAAAUCGAAUAGUCCAAUUUCUAGAGGUACAUAAUCGGACCGUUCGAUUUGUGAAAAGUACAUAAAUCAAUCUGUCUGAUUUGUAUUAAAAAAAAUAAAAAUUUUGAGGUAUAGAAAUCGCACCCUUCGAUUUGUAUACUUUCUACAAUUUUAAAAAAUACAAAAAAUUAUAAUGUUAAAAUAUAUCAAUUCUUUUACUUUUAUAACAAAAAAAAACAACAAAUAAGAGAAUCUUGGAACUAACAAAAAAUUUGAAAAGAGAGAUGCAUGCUUUGAAAGUUGAAACAAGUAAACGACACUACACAACAUAUAAGAAGAAUAAUUAACAACCGACAAUUUAAGAAAGAAAAGAAAAAUAAAAUAAAUAAAUACGUAAUCUACAUACACUAAUUUAUUAUGACACAUGUAUUGUUGACUUCUUGUGCAAUACUUAACUACACGGUAUGAAGAGAAUGGCAACAAUCUUUUUAAAUUUGUGCCUGAAGUAAAUUGUAAAAUUAGUUUUAAAAAAUUUGUUUUUUAAAAUAAUUAAAAAAAAUUAAUUAAUUUUUUUUUAAAAAAUUUAAAUUAAUCAUAUUAAUUUUAAAGGCUAAUUGAAAAAAUAAAUAAUUUUUAAAAUUAAUUUUCCCAUUUACCUUUUAUUUGUGUAGUUGCACACAUUAUACUCUUUUAAUUUAUCAUAUUUGUGUAGUUGCAAAAUUUUAAAAGAGUGUGUGCAAUUAUUAUCAUAUUUUACUUUUUUUUAAUUUAUUAUUUAACUUAUUUGUAUUUUUUAAUUUGACAAUAUUACAUAUACAACUGUUUUUUUAAUUAAAUCCAAUCAAAUUGAUAUAUGUAAAAUUUUUCAAAAUUCAAUAUGCAUGUGCAUUAUACAUUUUUUUUUUAUUAAUAUAGCACAUAAAUUUUUGUUAGAAAGUACAAAAUUUUAUUCAUAUAGUACAUAAAUUUUUGUACUAAACAAAAAAAAUUUGUACAUAAUAUAAAUUUGUUAAAAUAGCAUAAAAAAUUUUGCGUAAAUUAAUUUAAGAAUGGAAGUAAUAAUGAAGAUGUGCAAGUAUACUGUGAUUUGGGGUGUAUUCCACAGAUGUGGAUCCGUUGAAGUCAGUAACCUGCAAAACACAAGUUACUUUUUGCAUUACCUAAAACGAAAAAAGCUGAGGCUCCUGCAAAACGCAGGAUACGUUUUACGUAAAUCUAACCUCUUCCAUAAUUUCAACCUCAACUAAUGUUGAUUUUCGUUUCUUUGACAUAAGUAACUGUAAAAAAAAUUCACAACUAUGACAUAUACAGAAGUUUUUUCAUUAAAAUAAAAUAAAAAAAUUAUUAUUUUCUCAGACACCAUUUUUAAACUUUAAUUUUCCAAAUACUUAAGUUUCAUAACAGACAAUGACAACCAUUAUCAUCGACUUCAUAGUAUAUAUGGAUACACAAGAGUACACAGACAACAAGCAUAACUUCUUCAAUAUCGCCGGCACCAAUGGCAACCAUUAUCAUCGUUCAAAAAUUCACAGACACACUCUUGAUUAAAAUAUUUUUUCUACUAAAAACGCAAUCUGCAUUUUAAGCCUUCUACAAUAGUUUUUGACACCUUAAGAAUGCAACCUGCAUUUUGCGUCCUUAAAAAAAAUCCUGACACCCAAAAAAUUUUUGUUGUUAAAAAAAAAACGUGAAAACAAUAAAACAAAGGCUACGUUUUAUUAUUUUGAUGAAUAAAAAAAAUAAAAAACGAUUAAAAAUGGUAAAAAACAGGUUACCAUUUAUACUGAGAUCAUAACAGUGAAAUUUUUGUUCAUCCGUUCAUUUCAUUGCAUUACACCAUUAUUGUUUUCAUAUAAAAAAAAUGAGCUAAAUUUUACACAUAGCACAUAAAUUUAUUAAUUUAGUAUAAAAAAUUUUGUACAUCAUUCAAAAAAUUUUGCUAAAUAACUCAAAAAUGACUUUUACUAUCACUGUUCUGGAUUCUAUGCUCAGUUAUUUUGCUGCACAACUCAAAUUAUUUUUACUACUACUGCUAUUAUGGGUUUUGUACUGUGUACUAAAAUUUUUGUACUCAAUAACUUUACUAAACAUAUAUAUAAAAAAAGAUGAUGACCAUAAAGAUAACGAAGGAGGAGAAAUAAAAACAAAGAGCAGAAGAAAUCAAAUGAAAGAAAAAGGAAGAAGAAAAAAAGAUGACGAAUUUAUUUCUCACUGCUUAAUUAUAAAAGAAGAAGAUGACGACCAUGAAGAUGACGAAAGAGGAGAAGUAAAAAUAAAGAGUAGAAGAAAUCAAAUAAAAGAAAAAGAAAGAGAAAAAAAGAUAACGAAGUAGACAAAAAAAAGUAAGAAGAAGAUGACGACCAUGAAGAUGAGGAAGGAGGAGAAGUAAAAACAAAGAGUAGAAGAAAUCAAAUGAAAGAAAAACGAACAGGAAAAAAAGAUGACGAUGUAGACAAAAAAAAAGUAUCAGAAAGAAGUACUUGGAAUGUGUUUUUAUUUCUCAGUGCUUAACUAGACUUGGUUGUAUAAAGUAUUUGGCUGCCUAACAUUCUAUAAACAUAUUUAUAAACGAAAGAGCUGGGUAUGUUUGGCAAACGGCAUUGGAAGAGAGAAGCACCAUUUUUAUCUUUUUGAACGCAGAAUUAAUUCUGCCUGUGAAAGCACGUUCGGCGAAACUAAAAUUUACGGUUUCACGUUCAUGGUUGCUUAUUAUUCUUAAAAAAUUAGGUGAAAAUUUUAUUUCUUUUUAACAAUCCUACCCUUCAUUUUCUUCUAUAAAAAGGAUACUAGUAACUAUUACCUUUACAAUAAUUCUUUGUAGUUCUUUCUACUUCUUCAUAGUUCUUCGAUCUAAUUUUUUUUCAUUAAAAUAGUUAGAUUAUCAGAUUUGUUUUAAUCACUAACAAAUUGAAUAUUUUAAUUUUUUUAUUAUUUUUAGUACUCAUUUUCAUAUUUUAAUUUUUAUAUUUUUAUUAUAUUUUUAUUUAUAUUUUUUAUUUAUAUGAUAAAUAUUUUUAUAUUAUUUGUGUAGUAUUUUAAUUUCUCAUGUUAUGUUUUUAUGAGUUUUUUUAUCAUUUACUAUACUAUUUUUUAUAUGUAUAUUUUUUAUGAUUUUUUUUAUUUUUGUAUGAUUUUGUUGAUAUGAUUUUUUAUUUAUUUUAUUGUAUUUCUUUUAUUCAUAUGACAAAUAUUGUUGACUUUNNNNNNNNNNNNNNNNNNNNNNNNNNNNNNNNNNNNNNNNNNNNNNNNNNNNNNNNNNNNNNNNNNNNNNNNNNNNNNNNNNNNNNNNNNUGAUGUCUCUUUUAUUAAUUUUUUGUCUAAAAGUAAUUUUGAGUAGUAUAAUUUAAAUAACAUUUAUUUUACUACAAUCAAUUUUAAUAUAAAGAUUGCCAAACAUAAAUUACGUUAAUCCAAACUUAUUUUUCAUCUAAAUGAAUUUUACAAAAUCAAUUUUAUACAAACUUCAAUUUGUAAACUGUAAUCCAAAUAUAAUGUGUGCAGCUACACAAAUAAAAGGUAAAUGGUGAAAUUAGUUUUAAAAAUUAUUUAUUUUUUAAAUUGGUCUUUAAAAUUUUUUUAAUUAAAUUUGUCUUUUAAAGAUUUUAAAUUAAUUUUGUUAAUCUUUCUAUCAUUUUUUUAAUUGAUAAUGUCAAAAUUUACUAAUGUAGCACAUUAAGGGCCCGUUUGGUAAAUUCUAGAAGUAACUUUUUUUAACUUUUGACUUAUGAAAAGUAAUAAUAUUAAUGUCUACUGCAAUUUUCAAAACCAAAUUGCAACUUUCUAAGAAGCUAUUUAGGAGCUUAUAGAGAAGUUAAAAAAAAUGAUUUCUCUCAUAAUACUUCUACUUUUCAUCACAUUUCUAUAAAAUAAGCACUUUUAGAGUUAAAAAUUCAAACACAAAAUAACUUAUUUAUAAGUUACUUUUAACAGAGUCAUUUAUUGUUUAAGUUAUUUUAUCAAAAUGAGCUUAAUUAAGUUGGUUAUUCAAACUGGGCCUAAGUAUACUACAAAACACAUUUAUAAAUUUUAAUUGACUAUUAACAUAAUAAGUUUAUGAAGUUAGAUUAAAUCAAAAUUUAAUUGAAGAAAAAACUUGAGACAUUAAAAUCUCUUAAUUUGAGAUUGAUUUUAUCUAAUUUCCUAAACUCAUCCUAUUAAUAGUCAAUUAUAACUAUUAGAUAUAUUAUGAUAUUACUUAACGUACUACGUUAACAAAUUCUGAAAUUAUUAGUCAUGAAAAUGACAAAAAAAAAACUAACAUAAAAAAUUUAAAAUUUUUAAAAAAUAAAUUUAAUUAAAAAAAAUUUUCAAAAGCUAUUUUAAAAAAUAAAUAAUUUUUAGAAACUAAUUUUACAAUUUACUUCAGGCACAAUUUUAAAAAAAUUGUUACCAUUCUCUUUAUAGAGUGUUCGUGUAAUUAAGUAUUGCACAACAAUACAGACACCAUAAUAAACCAAUGUAUGUAGACCACAUAUUUAUUUUUUCUUUCUUUUCUUUCUUGGAUUCUCCGUCGUCAAUUAUUCCGUCAACUUCCAAAGCAGUCUACAUAUUUAUUUUUUCUUUCUUUUUCUUUCUUGGAUUCUCCGUCGUCAAUUAUUCCAUCAACUUCCAAAGCAUGCAUCUCUCUUUUGUUAGUUCCCAGAUUCCCUUAUUUGUCAUUUAGCAUAUAAAUUAUUAUUAUUAUUUGUGACGGUACCUUGAAAUCUGGGAUUACUAUAAGAACAACGGGUUUUGAUAACAUUUUGACCCGUUUGUAUUUUUUUAUUAUUUUUUUUGUGAGUUAACAUAAAUGAAUAAAAUAAUUAAAAAAGGGGUCAGAAGUAAAUAAAUAACAAGCUCCAGUUUAUAAUUAAACAAUACAUUUUUUUCUACUAUUUAUUAUUGAUAUCACUGCGUUUAGUUUAGUUUUUUCAUAGAUAUAUUAUGUUCGUUCAAAAAAACAAAAGCCAGUUUUUUAAAUUUUUGCCCUUAUUUGUUAAUGAAAGCUCUACCUUUUUUUUCCAAAUAAGGUUAGUUAAUGACAUAUCUCAUAUUAUCAAUUAACUAAUGAUAAAAUGUAAUUAAUUACUCUAAUAGUUUUUUAAAUAAAAAUUUAACACAAUUAUAAAUGGAACGUAUUAUAAAAAUUAAAAUAAAACACAAAACACAAAACAAUAAAUAAAAUAGAAUAAAAGCUAAACCACAAAUUUAUAAUAUAUUACACAUAUUCUAUUUUAUAUCAUUUUUAAAAUAUAAAAUAUNNNNNNNNNNNNNNNNNNNNNNNNNNNNNNNNNNNNNNNNNNNNNNNNNNNNNNNNNNNNNNNNNNNNNNNNNNNNNNNNNNNNNNNNNNNNNNNUUCAUAUGGAGUUUGUAAUAUUUCAUUAAUUUAAUAGAAAUUUUGAUUAGUCAAGUUCUUUAUUUAAAUUUGUUUUAAAUUUUUUAAGUUAAGUCAUUAAUUUAAAAUUUUUAAUUUAUGAUUCUUCAUUCUUUAUAAAUAUUAUGUUCUUUUGUACUAAAAAAAUAACUUGCAUUCUUAUAGUUUUUACCAUGUAAUUUAGGGUGUAAUUUGGUUAUUAAUUUCAAUUCAAUUUGAUUUUGAAUUUUUUAAUGUUUUAGUGUAAAUGCCGAAUUUUGUCUAACAUAAUAUUAAAAAAAAAAGUAGUUGAUAAUUUAGUUUGCACUUAUUAUUAUUCUGUGUGAAAAAAAUUUCAGUUCCAUCAAUAAAAAAAAAAAAAGAAAACAUAAAAAAAAAAGCAGAAGAAAAAUAGAAAAGUCUAGCUAAUAGCCCAAUAUUCCUCAAGAUAAAAAACGAAGGCUCAAGAUUUUUUAUUGGACCAACAAAACAUCCAAUCAACAAACAUGCAAAUUAAACCUGCUGCAUGCAUUGGCUGAGGCAUGUGAUGUAGUGAACUUAAUAAGCGAAUCUUUUUUACUACAAAAAUAUAUUUCUGCAGAGAAUAUCACAGUUAAUAAAAAAAUAAGUUGGAGAAGAAAAGUGAUAGUUCAAAAUCUGAAGCAAAAUAGGCAUAUUUAAUAUUAGGUAUAUCUUAAAUUUCUGAACGCAAUUUUUUUUUCAAUUUUUUUAUUUUAUCAUGUAAUAUUCAUAAAAAAAAAAUCAUCAAUUCACCCAUAUUUAAUGACUACAAAAUAAAUGCAUAAAAAUUUUAAAUAAGAAAAAGACAAAUAGGUCAUUAAUCUUUUGAUCCGCAAACAUUUAAAUUUCGAGAAUUUGAAAAUAUAUUUAAAUCUCUAACAUUUUUUAAAAUUUGGACAUAUCGAUCAUUUAUAUUCACUUGGGUCAACGAAAAAAUUAAAUGUGACUUCUGUUCUACUCACCUGGUUAAUACGAAUGUAUAUGUGAAAGAGUUUUUAAAAUGGGACAAAUUAGAUCUAGGGAUUGUAUCUAGAUUUUAAUUUAAAAAUAUCCGAAACUUAAAUGUAUUUUUAAAUCUUUAAGAACUUAAAUAUGUGCAGAUAAAAAAGUUAGAGAUCAAUUUGUCAUUUUCUCUUAAAUUUUUUAUAUUUUCAAUAAAAACUUUUUGUUUUGUAAUCUUAACAUGUGUUUUUAGAACAUAUGAUAAAUAAAUUCUAAAAAAAUUAUACUAUUCUUGUUUCUAUAUCAAUAAAAAUUAUCUUCAAUAUCUUUUUUCUUUGCUAAUAUUUUGAAUAGAAUAAGUUCAGGCUUGCAUAUAUAUUUAAAUUGUGUUGCAAGUAUUUAUGAGUGAGUAAGACAUAAAAUAAUAAAAAUAACAAAAAUAAAUGUGUGUGAAGUAAAAAAAAUAAAGGAGAAUAAUAUAUCAUUAUUAUAUAAAUUAAAAUCAUAUAAAAAUAUAAAUUUAUUUUAUAAUUAUUUUUUAUUAUAUUAUUAUUAUUUAAAAUAUAAAUUCUAAUUUUUUCAAGUACUAUUUAAUUUUAUAAAAAAAAACUAUUAAAUUUACCAUUUUUAUCAUAUAAUUCACCGUAAAAAAAAGAGUAUAAUGCGCUGCACAAACAAAUUUAAAAAGAUUGUUGCCAUUCUCUUCAUGGAGUGUUCGGAUAGUUAAAGUACUGUAUUGCGUUUGUUUACAGAGACAGAACACUGAGAUAUGGACACUGAGAUACAAAAUUAUGUUUGACAGAGGAGACAUGGAUAGAGACAAUGUGUCAAGAACACUGAAUUAGUGUAUUUUGUAUCCAUACUGUAUUGCGUUUGUUUACAGAGACAGAACACUGAGAUAUGGACACUGAGAUACAAAAUUAUGUUUGACAGAGGAGACAUGGAUAGAGACAAUGUGUCGAAAACACUGAAUUAGUGUAUUUUGUAUCCAUCUUGACAAAAAGGACACAACUUAUUUUUCAUUCAUUUUUUAUUAUUUUUGUUAAUUUUUCAUAAUUAUAUUUUUUUAUUAUUAUAUUUUUCAUCUCAAAUUUUUUGAAUGAAAAAAAAAUGAGAAUAAAUUAGAUUUUCAUAAUUUGUUCUAGUUUAUCACCAAACAGAAUACAAAAACACAAAAUUUUGUGUCUCUAUCCAUAAGUGUCUUGUCCUGUCAUAUUCUCAGUGUCUUAUCCUAUCUUAUUAUCAGAAACAAACGCAUAGUGCACUAGACAACAUACUUUUUUAUUUGAAAUUGUUGGUCAAUUAUUAUUCUUGUACAGUGUUAUUUUACUUGUUUCAACUUUUAAAGUACGCAUGUUUUAUUUUAAAAUUUUUUAAUCAAUUUUCCAUGUUAAUAUUAUUUGUCAUUUAGUAAAUAAAUUAUUAUUAUUAUUAUUAUUAUUAUUAUUAUUAUUAUUNNNNNNNNNNNNNNNNNNNNNNNNNNNNNNNNNNNNNNNNNNNNNNNNNNNNNNNNNNNNNNNNNNNNNNNNNNNNNNNNNNNNNNNNNNNNNNNNNNNNNNNNNNNNUGUGACGGAACCUAGGAUUACUAUAAGAACAACGGAUUUUGAUGACAUUUUGACCCGUUUGUUUUUUAAUUUUUUUGUUUUUUUUUGUUUGUGUGGUAACUGUUUUACUCAAAUUUUUGUUCCAUUGUUAACAACAAAUAAAUUAACAAUUUUCGAGUUUUGUUUCACAAUUUUAAUUUAAGGAGCGGAAACGACUCUUUUUGUGGAUGCCUCAAGGUCUCAAUUGUAGUUUCGAAAGUAAAAUUAAAGAUGAAAAGAAAACAUGCAAGGUGCCGGAGGCAAAGUAAAAUGCAGAAAUUAAAACAAACAGGAAAUUAAAAAGAAAAUGAAGGAAGAAACAUGAACGUAAAAGAGAAAAAGACGUAAAAGUAGAGGAAUUUUAUUAAUAAAAACUGGAAAAAAGCAAAGUACAAGUGUUUGAGUUCAGAGGAAUUACUUAAGAUUCCCAAUUUUACUCUGUGAUGCCAAGGGAUUGAGAGCGUUUUUUGGGUUUCUAAGCGUUUUCCAAGAAGAAUUGAACUGCCUACAAUAUUUUCCUAAAGUUCUAUUUAUAGACUAACCUAAUGUCAGCUAACAGUUACCAUUUGUACACCACUUGCGAAAAAUUUGAAUUUCUUGUAACUGUUCCCGCACCUCUUGUGAAUUUCAAAAGUUAAAUAGAUAGCUGUUUUACUCAAAUUUUAACGCUCCAUGUUGAUAACUGCUCCUGCAUAUAGCACGUCCUAUAAUUCAGGCUUAAUUCAAAUUUUGAAUAAAAAUUGCUUCUUUGCUAGUGAAUUAGAAGCUUCUCCUAAUAUAUUGAAUCUGGCUUCAUAAGUUAAUAAUAAUAUUAUCUUAUAUUUAUUUACUUAAAACAAAUUAUUUUUUCCUAAGUGAUAAUAAUUUUUUGCCUAACAAGAUGCCCCCCAAGAUUUCUCACUUGAAGAUAUGCAAUGAUUGAAAGUGAGAAAACUUAGUUGUUUAUUGACAUUUUUCUUAUUUUUGAUAUUGAGAGUCAAUUGACAUUUUAGACACAUCCGCUUGACAGAUUAAAUGCCUACUAGUAAUAGACUUAACAGAAUUUCUAAGUCUAUAAAAUUUUUUACAUUAAUAGUUGAACUGUCAAUGGGGUCUAUUCUUUUGUAUGAAAAUUUUAAGUGUGUCAAAUGAUAUCUGUUCUAAUUUCGACACAUUAAAUGUGUAUCAAUUGACCUUUGUUUUGACCUUUAAUAUUUCAAUUAAGAAUUUUUUGACACACACUUUCAUUGUUUUAAUUGACACAAUUUUCCUAACUUCAGAAGUAACAAAAUCUUAACUUUGUGAAGUCGUUUCUUUCAUAUGUUAAACUCUAGGUGUCAAUUAAAUUUGAUAAAAUUUCUAAUCCUAUAAAAUUUCCACACUAACAUUCUAAUAGUUUUGACUCCAAGUGCUAAGAGACUCAACAGAAUUUCUAAGUCAAUUAGGCUUUUGUAUUUAUGAAGUACAUACCCAAAUGUCAAUGAGAGAUUAUUUUUGUCCAAGAUUUUAAACUUGAUGCAUUUUCUUUAAAUAAAACCAUUCAUAAAUCAGGUUUUUUGUGCCAUUUAAAUUAGGUUUAUGAGGAUCUUUAUGCCAAAUUUCCAAAUUCUCAGGCAGCCAUCUCAUCGUGUCAACAAUUAACUGAAUCUCUUUCUAAGUUGAAACAAGACACCUCCUCUUUUGAGACUGUCAAAGCUACCCUGGCUGCCCAUAUUACAAAAGCUAAAGAUCGGGCUCAUGAGCUAUCUGAGGAGAUUCGAGACUUAGAACAACAACUGACUGUCAAGAGAGGAGCAAAAAAUAGGCUGGAUGCUGCUUUGAUAAAGAAUGAGGCUCAAUUUACCAAAGCAAGUAGCAUGCUUGACAGUAGCAAUGCAGCCUUACAGUCACUUGAAGAGAAGAUGCCCUCCUCACAGGAAGCUGCCAAAGAAGCCAGGAACUUCCAAACCGCUCUCCAAGCUGAAGUUACUCGCUUGAAGGAGAUCUUUGAAACCUAGUCUUGCAUUGCUUAUGUGAACCUUUGUGAUUUUAAUAUGUGUCUGCAAUCUUCACUUUUUGAACCUUUAGAAUUUUGUUUAUUAUUCGCUUUUGUAUGCACUUUAUCCUUAUUUUGGAGAUUGGACACUUGCUAUUUUUUUCUUUAGACACUUCAACUGGAUAUUUUCAUGUCCUUAAACAUGUGGAAUGUUUAUCUCAUGUAUGCCUGGCCUAUAUACCUUUAAAUAUUUGCCAUUUAUUGAAGGAAUUCUUCUUCCUGAUCCGAUUUCAAUAAUCUUAUAGGCAUUUCCAGAAUAAACUUUGUCAACUACAUAAGGUCCUUCCCAAGUUGGAGACCACUUACCAUAAGUUUUUUACUUUUUUUCUAUAGGCAAAAUUGUUUUCCACACUAAAUCUCCAACUGCAAAUGUCUUUGUUUUAACACGGCGGUUGUAUGAUUUUGACAUAACCUCUUUUUGUCGAAUCACCCGCUCUAAAGCUCUCAACCUUUCGUCAUCUAGUUCAUUGAGCUCAUCAUGCAAAGAAUUUCAAUAAUCUACUACUGCUAUCUCGUCUUGUCUAGCCACCCUUACACUUUGCAGAUUAAUAUCAAUUGGCAACACCGCAUCAUGACCGUAAACUAACUUAUACGGGGUGGUUCCAGUAGAACCUCUUGGAGAAUUUCGGUAAGCCCAAAGAACUUGACUGAGAGUUUGGUGCCAAUUUCUUGGCUGCCUUCCAAUGUGUUUUUUAAUUAAUGCAAUCAAAAUUUUAUUCGCUGCCUCCACUUGUCCAUUGGCUUGGGCAUAAUAUGGUGUAGAAGAAAGUAUUUUUUAUAUCCCUAGAUUUGGCAUAUUCCAUGACCUUUUUCCCAAUAAACAUGGUUCCUUGAUCAGUGGUAAUAGACUGAGAAAUUCCAAACCUAUGCACAAUAUGCUCCUCAAUAAAAUCUAUUAUUUCAUUGUGAGUCACCUCCCUUAGAGGGAUAGCCUCUACCCAUUUAGAAAAAUAAUUGUUCAUACCCAGGAUUGAGCUGUCCGACCUGGGAUGUUUUGCAGACAAAGCAACCGACCUCUUCAGAUCAGACUAUCCGACCUCUUCUCAAAGAGCUCGGCCAAAUUGCCAGGAAAGCCCACUAAAGGGCCCGAAUAGAGGAAUACGACCCAAAUCCAAAGGCAUCCCAAGCCUAUAGAGAUAAGGGCGGUUCCCUUGAAGAUAAGCUGACCUCACCCAAAGAUAAGAUAAGAUAAGAUAACUAACUUAUCUUAUCUAAAAAGGUCACUCUACACCAUUAUAAAUACACUGGAACACCCAGGUAUAACUCAUACUUUGAUUCUACUAAAAAUCUGCUUAAUACCCUUGCUAACUUAAGCAUCGGAGUCCCUUGAAGGUACCCCCACCCUCCGGUGGUGAAGGAUCAGCAGUGCAGCCAAGUCCAACAAGUCGGACAUGACAGCUCCGGACACGUCAUCUCCGACCGGUACAGAAGAUCUCGUCCAAGAUCGACCUACAGUUUCAGGUAACCCUCAGAAUAUUGGCGCUGUUGCCGGGGACCUGGAAGUCAUCCCAUCGCCAUGGCGGGCGACCAUGACAACAACCACGAUUCAGAUUUAGAGGAUAGAACACCGCACAAAAACGCGGACACUACACUGAAAGACACCCCGGAAUCUAACAGGGACAAAAAUGCAGCAAUCCGGGAAUGAUAGAAGCGCUUCAAGAUCGUUUAAAGUAACUUGAAAAAGAAAGCCAGCAUCAACGAGAAACAGGGAAGGAUCUACAAAAAGAGGUAAGGCGACGCCGAGAAUUAGAAGACAAACUUCUAAAACUCGAAACCGAUCUCAAAGCCAAAGCUACUCGAUCCACUCCUGAGGACAACUCUCGCAAGGAUCAAGAUCCAUUCACUAGGGAGAUCAUGAGGACCAAAAUACCUAAGGACUUCAAACUUUCGGAUAUGGCUUUGUACGAUGGCACUACAGAUCCCAACCAUCACCUCAGCAAUUUCAGAAGUAGAAUGUACCUCACCGACGCCUCAGAUGCAGUCCGCUGCAAAGCUUUUCCAACAACUCUCACAAAGACAGCAAUUAGAUGGUUCGACAACCUACCUCCGAAAUCCAUCUCAAGCUUUGACGACGUAGCCAAAAAGUUUCUGGCCAGAUUCUCCAUCCAAAAAGAUAAGGCUAAGCACGCCCCCAGUCUAUUAGGAAUCAAGCAAGGAGAUUGGGAAAGUCUUCGUAACUACAUGGAAAGAUUACACAAAACAUGCCUAGAUAUACAAAGCCUACCAACAGAGGCCGCCAUCAUGGGCCUCAUUAAUGGCCUACGAGAAGGACCUUUUAGCCAAUCUAUAUCAAAGAAAUACCCCACAUCUCUGGAUGAAGUGCAAGAACGAGCGGAGAAAUACAUCAACAUGGAAGAAAAUUCUCGACUAGGAGAAACCUCAAGAUCCGGAUUCACCUACCGAGAUAAAGAUAAAGAGUCCAAAAAGAAGGAAGAUCGACAAGGGGAAAAAAUUAAAAAAUAUCAUAAUUACACCCCUCUUCGGGUGUUCCUUGUGGAUGUUUACAAAGAAGUCUGCCACACAGAAAAAAUACCCCCAGCUCGACCACUCAAAGGCAAAAGAGGAGGAGGAAACCGGAACGAAUAUUGUGAAUACCAUCGAGUCCGUGGGCAUUCCACCAAUGAAUGCUUUGAUUUAAAAAAUGUUAUAGAAAAAUUAGUGAGAGAAGGAAAACUAGAUCGGUAUCUGGCCACCCGAGACGAUGAUCAAAGAAAAAGGAGGAGGGACGAGGAGGUUGGACGAACUGAGCGAUCACCUCGUACACCAGAAAGACAUGUUCAUAUGAUACACGAAGGGUUUGCAGGAGGAGGAAUCCCCAAAUCAUCUUGCAAAAGAUAUCUCAAAGAAGUAUAUCAUGUCGAAGGAAAGGAGGAAACACCCGACAUCCCUGCAAUUACGUUUACCAAAGAAGAUGCAUCCGGUAUCAUCUCAGAACACGACGAUCCCAUGGUCAUCACUAUUAUACUGGCAAAUGCAAAUCUCCACUGCACACUAAUAGACCAAGGGAGCUCCGCCAAUAUCUUAUUCAAAACUGCCUUCGACAAGCUCGGCUUAGAAGAAAAGGAGCUUAGAGCAUACCCAAACAGCCUGUUCGGACUAGGAGACACCCCAGUGCAACCACUUAGAUACAUCUCACUACACACAACGUUCGGAAGAGGAAAUCAAUCCAGAACACUCAAAAUAGACUACAUCGUGGUCAACGUGAGUUCAGCCUACAAUGCCUUAAUAGGUCGGACAACAUUGAAUCAACUCGGCGCAAUAGUCUCAACUCCACAUCUAUGCAUGAAAUUCCCAACUGCAGAAGGGAUAGCUACAAUAAAAGCAGAUCAGAAGAUGGCGCGCCGCUAUUAUAACGAAAGUCUAAAUCUCAGAGGCAGAGGAGAAGAAUUCCACACAAUUGAACUUGGUGGAGUUCAGAGGCGAGAAGAACUCCGUCCACAACCUGAAGGUGAAGUAGAGAAAGUCCAGAUCGGAGACAUCCCGGACAAAACAACUAAUAUUGGCACGAUUCUAAGAGGAGACAUAAAAGAAUCACUCGUACAGUUCUUACGAGAUAACGUCGAUCUUUUUGCAUGGAACGCUGCAGACAUGCUAGGCAUAGACCCCGAACUAAUGAGCCAUAAGUUGGCAGUCUACCCAGGAUCUCGGCCCGUACAGCAGAGAUGAAGAAAACUUGGGCCAGAACGAUCCCAAGCUGUGGAAGAGCAGGUACAAGCCCUACUGGAGGCAGGAUUCAUAAGAGAAGUCAAAUACCCACUAUGGCUAGCUAACGUCGUCUUGGUGAAAAAAUCAAACGAAAAGUGGCGAAUGUGCACUGAUUACACUGAUCUCAACAAAGCCUGCCCAAAAGAUCCUUAUCUACUCCCAAGUAUCGACGCUCUGGUGGAUGCCUCAUCCGGAUAUAAAUACCUCUCGUUUAUGGAUGCAUAUUCCGGAUACAAUCAAAUCCCAAUGUAUCCACCUGAUCAAGAAAAAACCUCGUUUCUAACACCAAAAGCAAACUACUGCUACAUCGUAAUGCCUUUUGGUCUUAAAAAUGCGGGAGCUACUUAUCAAAGGCUAAUGAAUAAAGUCUUUUCAGAUCAUAUCGGAAAAAUCAUGGAAGUCUAUGUGGACGACAUGUUGAUAAAUACACAAAGUGAAGAGACAUUAUUGUCCGACCUGGUCCAAGUGUUCGACACUAUAAGGAAGCAUGGCAUGCGACUCAAUCCUGCAAAAUGCACCUUUGCAGUAGAAGCUGGCAAGUUCUUGGGUUUUAUGCUCACACAAAGAGGAAUCGAGGCAAAUCCGGAUAAAUGCCAGGCCAUACUCAACAUGAAGAGCCCAACUUGUGUCAAAGAGGUACAACAACUCAACGGGAGGUUGGCAGCCUUGUUUAGAUUUCUAGCGAGAUCAGUAAUAAGGUCUCUCCCCUUCUACGCCACUCUAAGGAAGGGAAAUAAGUUCGAAUGGACAACAGAGUGCGAGCAAGCCUUCCAAGAUUUCAAAAGUUUCCUGGGACAACCACCUAUCCUAACUCGACCACGAGAGGGAGAGCCACUCAUAUUGUACCUCGCAGUAGGAAGUCGGGUAGUAGCCUCAGCGCUAGUUUGAGAGGACGACAAGGAGCAACAACCUGUAUACUUCAUUAGUAAAGCACUACAGGGGUCCGAGCUGAACUACCAAAAAAUAGAAAAAUUUGCCUAUGCGCUCAUACUAACAUCUCGACGACUUCGCCCGUACUUCCAAGCUCACACCAUUAAGGUUCGGACCAACCAGCCCAUAAAAAGGAUAUUACAGAAAACAGAUCUAGCAGGCAGAAUCCUACAAUGGGCAGUCGAGUUGUCUGAGUUCGACCUUCAAUACGAAGCUCGGACAGCCAUCGAAUCACAAUACUUAGCCAACUUCAUUGCAGAAUUUACAGACACCCCGGAAACCCCCACAGAAUGGAAUCUCUACGUGGACGAUUCCUCGAAUAAGACUAGAAGCGGCACAUGUGUGAUAAUCGAAAGCAAGCAAGGAACCCAAAUUGAACUUUUUCUCAAAUUCGGGUUCCCUGCCUCAAACAACCAGGCGGAAUAUGAGGCACUACUAACUGGUUUAAAGCUGGCUAAAGAGGUCGGAGCUCAAAGACUCAUUAUCUUCAGCGACUCACAGGUGAUAACUUCACAAAUAAUGGGGUGCUACCAAGCCAAGAACUCCACUAUGAAAAAGUAUCUGGCUAAAACCAGGGAACAGCUCAGACAGCUCCGGGAAUAUGAGAUCCACCACAUACCCCGCGAACAGAAUGCCCGAGCUGGCGCACUCUCAAAGCUAGCCAGCACCAAACCAGGGGGCAACAAUAGGAGCCUCAUCCAAGAAAUAUUGCAGAGUCCGUCCAUCUCGGAAGAAGAAAAAGUCCUAGCCAUAACAGGUCAGGAUCAAGGAUGGAUGACCCCCAUAAUUAACUAGCUCAAAACAGAAACACUCCCUACAGAUAAAAAGGAGGCAAAAAGGUUAAAACGGGAGGCACAACAUUACACUAUCAUAAAUAAUACUCUAUACAAAAGAGGGAUUUCAAUACCAUUGUUAAAAUGUGUACCGACUUUCAAUACAAGAGAAGUUUUAGAAGAAAUAUACAGUGGCAUUUGUGGCAACCGUCUCGGAGCACAAGCACUUACCAAAAAAGUACUCCGGGCAGGAUUUUAUUGGCCAACUCUACAAAAGGAGGCCACAGAGUUCGUAAAGACAUGUCCACCAUGUCAAAAAUAUGCCAACUUUCACAUCGCCCCGCCAGAGGAGCUAAUCAGCAUAACCUCACGUUGGCCAUUUGUAAAAUGGGGACUCGACCUUCUUGGACCCUUCCCUCAGGGGUCAGGACAAGUUAAAUUCCUCAUAGUAGGGGUAGACUAUUUCACAAAGUAGAUCGAGGUAGAACCCCUAGCUAACGCCACUGCUCAAAGAAGUCGAAAAUUCCUGUAUAGAAAUAUUGUCACAAGAUUCGGGGUCCCAUACUCCAUCACCACAGAUAAUGGCACACAAUUCACAGAUACAGGCUUCAGAAAGUUAGUGGCCGACUUAAACAUAAAACAAAAAUUCACUUCCGUAGAAUAUCCUCAAGCCAAUGGACAAGCCGAAGCUGCCAACAAAGUCAUAUUAGCUGGGAUAAAACGGAGGUUACAGGCCGCAAAAGGAGCCUAGGCUGAGGAGCUCCCACAAGUCCUAUGGGCAUAUCGGACAACGCCACAUUCCACCACAAAGGAGUCACCCUUCCGAUUAGCGUACGGAAUGGAGGCAAUGAUCCCAGUGGAGAUCGAGGAAGGGUCCCCUAGAGUAAUUCACUACAAUGAAGAAGCCAACUCCCAACUCCAAAGGGAAGAGCUCGACUUACUUCCUGAAAUCCAAGAGAGAGCUCGGAUCAGGGAAGAAGCAUUAAAACGUCGAAUGGCUUCCAGAUAUAAUUAAAAGAUUGUACCAUGAGGUUUCGUGGAGAAUGAUCUCAUCCUAAUCCGAAAUGAUAUCAGAACAACUCGACCUGGAGAAGAAAAGCUGGCAACAAACUGGAAAGGACCCUACCGAGUCAUAGAAGUACUUGGGAAGGGCUACUACAGACUGUCCGAACUCGAGGGGCGAGAGCUUCCCAGGUCAUGGCACGCCUGCAACUUAAGAAGGUACUAUAGCUAGGGAUGGUAAAGGAUCUCAGCAUAGGGUGCACUCUUUUUCCUGAAAAGGUUUUUUAAUGAGGCACCAAGUUGAGAUCCACAAAUUAUCCGACUUAAAAGGAUAAAAACUUCACAUGUACAUAUUUGCAUUUCCUUUUAAAUAAAAUAUGUUAGAUGUUCUACAAGUUUUCAAGAUGCAUUAAUCUGAAACAUUUAUCGCCCGAUUAUAAAGCAACAGAUCGGCGGAAAGUGAAAAACAAAUUCACUGCAUGAUCACGAUAAAGACCAACAGAGAUGAAAACACAAUUCAUCUAAAGGUCGACCAAACAAAGAUUGAAACCACCUUCUACAAAUCGGCAAAGAUGAAAAUAGAAUAAUGCAAGAAUUUAUCGAAAGUGAUCCGGAGAAAGGACCUGACGAGGUCUUGAUAAGAUGGAUUGCUAAAUAAUAACUUAAAGACUGGCCGACGUUAAGAAGUCGAACCAAGUCAACCCAAGUUAUCAGUAAAUCCCUGGAAAGAGGUCUGGCCAACCCUAUAAAAGAGGAUUGCUAUAACUUAGAAGAGAUCGACAUGACGAAGUUGGUCUCCUACAAAACAUAAAAGUUAUAAAAGUAAUCCCUGAAAGAGACCUGAACAAGGUCCAAAAAAGAGGAUUACAAAAAUAACUUAGAAGGGCCCGACAUGACGAAGUCGGCCCAAAACAUAAAAGUUAUAAAAGUAAUCCCUGAAAGAGACCUGAACAAGGUCCAAGAAAGAGGAUUACAAAAAUAACUUAGAAGGGCCCGACAUGACGAAGUCGGCCCAAAACAUAGUUAUAAAAGUAAUCCCUGAAAGAGACCUGAACAAGGUCCAAAAAAGAGGAUUACAAAAUAACUUAGAAUGACCCGACGCGAAGAAGUCGGUCCAAAACAUAAAUCUACAAAAGUAAUCCCUGAAAGAGACCUAAAAAGGGGCCCAAAAAAGAGGAUUAUCAACAACAGCUCAGACAAAACCGACAUAAUGAAAUCGGCGACCUCAGCGUUAUACAAAGAAAAUUCCUAACAAAGACUUGAACAAAGUCCAAACAAAAUGAAUUGAUGGAAAUGACAUCAGGCAAAGGAACCAAGCCAACCCAAAGAGGUCAGACAACGAAAAGUUCCAACACUCCCAAAAACUAGAAAGGUACCAAGACGAGUGCAGACAGAUAUGAUAUAAAAACUACUAGCUACAAUAACAGCAAGCUUCAGAGGCCACCAAAAUCAGCCCCAAAAGCUUGGAAACUGCUUUGUUUUUCAAAAGAAAGUUGCUAAACAAGCAACCAAGAGAGUGUCAACAAUCAGCAAAAUACCAUUUACAAAAAUAAACAGUUCAAAAGCCCGCAGAUAGGGCCAUACGCAAAUAUAUCGAGAAUAACUAAAGAGGAUCCAUAGGUUUCCCAGAAGCUGCAUCAACAUGGGGCAAAAGAGGCCGAGUCUGGAGGGGCACAGCAUCCACUGUCCCAUCCUCCCGGUUUAAGAUUUGACAGUCAGGUUUUGACUCAAUUUCGGCUGAAGGAGCUGAAGAAGUCGGCACGACAAAAGCCUUGGCAACAGGCGCAGGAUGAGGUUCAACAUCAUCAUCAUCAGGGUCGUCAGGGACAAUCUUACCGUCCCUCACAACAUUGUCAAGACUAAAGAGAGUAAGGUUGAGCUCGGGCGCCAGAACCCGAACCUGCUCCCUUAAAUUCUCAUAAGCAGCAGUCACGCUACCCACAAGGUGACCCUGGAGCUCAGAAUAAUCAUCCCGGGCAGUCUCUAAAUCACCCCUGAGACGCAACACCUCUCUGUAGGCCGAAACAUAGCUAUCCUUGUGCCUCAACGCUGUGUCUUCAGCCAACUUCACAGAAGCCGCCAAGGCCACAGAACUAGCCUUUUCACCCUCUAAUUCUUUCUCCACUUUCGCCAACUUUACCUCCAACUCCUCCUUCAAACCUUUUAUUCUAUCAAACUCCGACUUAGCCUCCAUCAUGAAAGAUUUUGUAGCAUGAACCAGGAUACCCUAAGCAGUUCGAAAAAGAGCCGCACCCAUAUGAGCCAUCUUCACACUGCUUCUAGUUAUGAACUCCAGGUGAUGAAGAAUGGACACAUCAUCCAUUGAAAGACCUCCAUAGGGGGCAAUCUGUUGGUUGACAAACUCGAUGGCAUCAAAAUCAGGGGCAUCAAGGUUAAAGGUUUCAGAUGUUUUUUGCUUUUUCGGAGGAGGAGCGCCAGAAGCAGCAGCUGAAGUUUGUGGAGGGUCAGCCAGACAAACCCGGGGAGUAGGGAUCACCCUCUUCGGCCCAGGUGAACUCGGCACGGGUGGCUUCACCUAGGGGUGUUCAGAUCCAAACCGGUCCAAAAAAAACCGCGAAACCGGACCGAUCCAAACCGAAAACCGAAUUAAACCGCUCUAUUUUAGAUAUUUUUUGGAUUUUGGAUCGGUUUUAUUGCGGUUUGGUUCGGUUUGCGGUUCCACUCUACAUAACCGAACCGAACCGAACCGAACCGCAUAUAUUACAAAUAAUAAUAAUAAUAAUAAUAAUAAUAAUAAUAAUAAUAAUAAUAAUAAUAAUAAUAAUAAUAAUAAUAAUAAUAAUAAUAAUAAUAAUAAUAAUAAUAAUAAUAAUAAUAAUAAUAAUAAUAAUAAUUACCGUAUCACUAGCACACUAGUGCAGUAGUGCAGCGCCGAUUCCCAUUUGAAACCCUAAACUAAAGAAAGAAAGUAAGAAACCCUUUCUGCUCAGUGCUCUCUCUCGCUCCUUAGUCCUUAGUCUUCGUUCUUCAUCCUUAGUUCCUUACACAACAUCACAACAUCACUCACUCUCACUAUCACAGAUUCACAGCAUCACUCACUCUCAGUCACUCCCACUGACACACGCCGCGUCGUCCGUCGCUCUUCUUUUGAGUAAUGCCCUUCGUCGCCUCCUCUUCUCAGUGACGCCGCUGGCGGCUCCUCUCCGCGGUGACGCCGCUGCCGCUUUCUCCCCUCGGUGGCGCCGCUGCUGCUCUUCUUCAAGGUAUAUUUUAACUUAGUUUUGUUUAUUUUGUUUUGUUCUGUUGUUUUAGGAUUUUGUUUAAAUUUAAUUUUUACUUGUUAAUCUGUGUUAAACUAUGUUAAAUUGUUCAUUGUUGAAGGUAGAUUUUUACUUGCUUUUAUUUAGUUUGUUUUAUUCUGUUAUUUUAAGAUUUUGUUUAAUUUUAAAUUUUACUUGUUAAUCUGUGUUAAACUGUUCAAGCCUCAAGGUAUAUUUUUACUUGGUUCUGUUUAUUUUGUUUUGUUCUGUUGUUUUAAGAUUUUGUUUAAUUUUAUUUUUUACUUGUUAAUCUGUGUUAAACUGUUCAUUGUUGAAAGUAGAUUUUUACUUGCUUUUGUUUAUUUUGUUUUGUUCUGUUGUUUUAAGAUUUUGUUUAAUUUUAAUUUUUACUUAUUAAUCUGUGUUAAACUGUUCAAGAUAUAUUUUUACUUGUUAAACUGUGCUUUAAUUUUUAUUUGUUAAACUUUGUAUUAAAUUAAGUAUUUUGUUCUUGUUGAUUGAAAUUGAAUUCUAUUUUUUUUUUACCUUCUGCAGAUUUUAUAUUUGUUCCAGUGAUUUUAGCUUUCAAUUCGAAGGUCAACAAUGUCAGCUUCAUAUCCUGAGGUAAUUUUUUAUUGUGUAAUGUGUAUGUUGGUAACAACUCAAUAUGUUAAUUAAUUGAGGAAAAUAUUAAAAUAACAUAAACUGAUUAAUUAUUUUUGUUAUCACAGGAUGUUCAAAGUAGCGAGCCAGGAUUUACCAGUGCUACUCCAUCCACUUUUGAAUCAGUCAGAUCUUCAAGACAGUUAGAGUCAAUGCCGCCUCCACAGCAGCAAUCGCAGCCACAAACUCAGACGCAGACGCAGCCACCAUCGCUGCCGCCACUGCCGCCGCACAGUGAUCAGAACAAUGAAGGAACUAGAUCUAAGAGGAGGAGAGGCAAAGCAAAUGUUGCUAAUGAGUCAUCUAAUCCUGGCCAGUCUGAGGAACAAGGUACAGGUAACACUAAAAAACCUGUUAGACCUAGAUCUUGGACUUGGGAGCAUUUUAAAAAAGAUGAUAGUGGUCCCAAACCUAGGGCUAUAUGUAAGUGGGAUGCUGAGUUUGUAAUGAUGCAAGGGGGCAUUCCAAAGAAUGAAGAUUGGGAUAAUGCAAGAUGCUUUGUGAGGUUUUUGAAGAUUUUUUCUGAUGUAACCAAAAAAGUCUCGGGUUCUACAUUUGUGACUUCUUCUUUAUAUUUUCAUCACUUUUGUUCAAUUCUUAGUUCUUUGAAGACUUGGGCUGAUAGUAAUGACAUACUACUUAAGGGUAUGGCUACAAAAAUGAAGGCUAAGCAUGAUAAAUAUUGGGGUAACUUGAGGAACAUGAAUAUGAUGAUUUUUGUUGCUGUGGUACUUGACCCUAGAUACAAGAUUAAGUUUGUUGAGUGGAGUUUUUGAAGAAUUAUUAUUUUAUCAAGACUUGUUGAAUAUGUUGGAUUGUUGGACAAUUGGACAUGUUAGUUUUUUUUUUUGGUGACUAUUGGACAUGUUAGUUUAUAAUGUUUUAUGGAAUUUUUGUUUUAUUAUUUUGUUGAAUUGUGUUUUAUUAUUAUAAUGGAUUAUUGGACAGGUUAUAUAACUUUAUAAAUUAAGUUAUUAUUUUGUAUUUAAAAAACCGCGGAUUCAAACCGAUCCAAACCGCUUGUAAUCGGAUCGGAUCGGAUCGGAUUUUCAAAAAAUGUUCAUCCAAUCCAAACCGCACCGCACAUAAAUUAAGUGUUCGGAUCGGAUGACUUUUUCCUUCAAAACCGAACCAAACCGCACCGCGAACACCCCUACCUGAACCUGAGAAGAUCCCUCUCCUGCCACCUUGGCCGACAUGUUCUUAGCAGCAGCAGCCUUCCUUGCCUUCUUGAAGCCUUCAUGGAAUCAUUAUUUUUAGACAUCUCUGAAAAACAGAAUCAACCACAGUAAUGGGUUACAAUCACAAAAAGAGGGUGCAAAGCUAAAAACAAGGAUAAAAGCAAGUCAGACAGUACCCAACACAGUUCGGACCAGGGACGGGUCCCCCAGAAACUUUUUGUUAUCAAGGUGGGGAGAUUUCCCCAUAUAUCUUCAAGAACAAUUACAAAAGCCCGCUCAACCUCGUCAAGCAUCUCCCAAGUAUAACGAGACACUGUCACAUUCUGUUGCCAUUCUAGAGGAAAAGCAGGCUCAUCAUUCUCAUCAAGAAAAAAGGGACGGGCCCCCUCAACAGCUCGAACUUUAAAGAAAUAGUUCUUAAAGUCCUUAAAGGACUCAUCAUACAUGGCAAAAACUUUAUGUCCCUGGGCAGAUCUAAAAGAAACCCAAGAAGCUUUCUUUUUGGAAGAAGCCUCGGGCUUGGCCGAAACAAAAAGAUAGAGGAAAAGGGCUUGAGAAGGUGUGACACCUAACUCUUGACAAAGCAGCUGAAAGACUUGACAAAACCCCAGGAAUUCGGAUGAAGCUGGGACGGGGCAACGUUACACGACCACAACAAGUCGGUCUCAAAAGCAGUAAAAGGAAAGGUAAUGUCCAACUGGCCAGUAGCGGAUCUUGAAACAAAAUUUUGGGGGGCCAGAUAGAAGAUAAUUGUUAAGAUGCUUUUGAUAUGAAUCCCAUUGAAGAUAAAUUUAUCUAACCUCAUUUCUCUGAUUUGGGUGAUAUUGUCAAAUUUAAAGCCGUUUUUUAAGGUCUCGUUCCAAAAAAUUAAGGUCAAACUCAUCAGAUGCAACUCUUUAAACUUUUAAAGGUUGUAUCUCACUUUCUUCAUAAUUUAUUAAAGUAAAAGAACUAUCUACAAGUGUUGAUAUUAUAAAAGUUAUAUGUUCUCUUUCUUGAAUAUUAGCCUUCCUCUUAAAAAAUUGUAUCAAUUCUUUAGUUUUUCACAAUUAUUUUAUAUAAAAAUUUGAAUAUAUAUCCUGUAAAAUAUGUAAAAAAGAAGUUAGAAGAACAAAUAUUAAAAUUUAUAAUAUUUAUUGAAUUUUUUUAUCAAUUUAUACAAAUACAAUAAUAUUAAUACUUAUUGAAUAUUCUAAUAUUUUUUAUCAUAUAAAAAAUUAAAUUAAAUAAACAAUAAAAUAUAAAAUAAUAUCAAAUUACAUAAAUAAAAAAUACCUAAUUUUUUAUAUUUGAACUCAAAGGUAGAGGGAGUAUUAUUUAUUGAAUAGAGAUGAAGAUUGAACUUUAGUAUUUUAAGUCAUAAUAAAGUAUUUGAGUCAACUGAACUAUUUUUUAUUUUUUGAAAAAGUACUACUAAUUUUUUUAACAAAAGUUUGGGGGGCCAUGGCCCCCCUUGUCUCAACUAAGCUCCGCCACUGCAACUGGCUGAAGAAAUAUUCAUAGGCAUAGAAAAAGGGACGCUCCCCCUCGACCGAGGUUGGAAAACAAACCCUCUCGUUAGAAUCAGGCGCUACAAGCUCAUAAUCCCUCUCCUGGGCACCGCUACCACAAACCCUAUGAUGUUUUCUCAGCUCUACACAAAACUCAACAUCCACCACAGAAACACACAUUAAGACAAGGGAGUCCAACCAAUCGGACAUCCCCUCAGGAACUUUAGAAGACAUCUCUAUAAUAUUUUUGCGAGAAGACAUGGCCAACUAGUCCUACAACCAAAGAAAAGGCGAAUUACUAAAAUUACUCAAGAUCAGACAGAUAACUCGGGCAGUAAAAAUAAAACAGCAGAUUGCAGACUCAGCACAAACAACAAAAGGAAAGAUCCAGGACCCACACAGAAGGCUUAGGGGCAUCCUUUGGAGGUAGUCAGGGAACAAGGAUUCAGGAAAACCUACAAAACUAAAGCUCGCAGAGAAAAACCCUUUCUCAAAAAAGUAGCAUCCCAGAAAGCUACAAAUCAAACAAAACCGAAAUAGCUACCUUCCAAAUUCGCAGUCUCAGCUUAUCAACAAGCAAAAUAACAAAACAUAUCAAGAAGAAGUCAUCAAAGAAGCCACCUUUUUCAGAGAAAUGAAAUCCCCCAGAAUAAGCAAAACAGCACGAAAAAAUAAUCACGGAGUUCAUCAGCAAAGCUAUCAGCAUGACAAAAGGAACAAUCUUUUCGAGAAAACAAGCAGUAUGAGCCCUAGAAAACAAGGGGACCAUUUCAAAAGCAAGAGAAAACCCCCAAACAGUGAAAAUGCAGGCACACAGUGAUACGAAAAGAUUCAGACUUCAAGAGAAAAAUCAAAACUCUAUCAAAAGCCAAAGGCAAAAUGACAAAAGAAGUGCAGAGAAAGAAAAACCAACCUAAACAAAGGAGGAAGCUUUGAAGAAGAUUGAAGAUGGAGAGACGGAAUCGCCCAGAAAUCGCCGAAUGACACCGCAACGCAAGAAAGGAAAAAUUUAGGCAAAAACAGAAAGCGAGAGAGUAAAGGGGGAAGUUACAGAGAAAAACGAAAAGAAGAGAAACCGUUUUUGUGUGUAAAAUUCAAAAUAAAUGAGUUUUGUGAAACGGAGACAAUUAAUGAAGGUAUUAAAACCUCGCACGUUCCCAAGAACAGAGCGCUAAUACAAAAGUGCGGGCUUUUAGAAGAAAACGUUCCACAUUCAAAAAGGGAGACUCUACAAAGAAAGAAGUCGACAAAUGCUCGAGUUCGGCUUCAUCCAAAGAGGAUCGAAGUCCUUAGAUUAAGGCACGACCUCAAGAAAAGACCGAGCUCGAGCAGGGGCACUGUUCAUACCCAGGAUCGAGCUGUCUGACCUGGGAUGUUUUGCAGACAAAGCAACAGACCUCUUCAGAUCAGACUAUCCGACCUCUUCUGAAAGAGCUCGGCCAAAUUGCCAAGAAAGCCCAUUAAAGAGCCCAAAUAGAGGAAUACGACCCAAAUCCAAAGGCAGCCCAAGCCUAUAGAGAUAAGGGCGGUUCCCUUGAAGAUAAGCUGACCUCACCCAAAGAUAAGAUAAGAUAAGAUAACUAACUUAUCUUAUCUAAAAAGGUCACUCUACACCAUUAUAAAUACACUGGAGUACCCAGGUAUAACUCAUACUCUGAUUCUACUAAAAACCUGCUUAAUACCCUUGCUAACUUAAGCAUCGAAGUCCCUUGCAGGUACCCCCACCCUCCGGUGGUGAAGGAUCAGCAGUACAGCCAAGUCCAACAAGUUGGACACAACAGCUCCGGCCGCCACCAACCAGCCGGACACGUCAUCUCCGACCGAUACAGAAGAUCUCGUCCAAGAUCGACCUACAGUUUCAGGUAACCCUCGGAACAAUAAUCAACACCAACUAAAAUGAACUUAUGACCUUUAGAAGAAGGUGGGUGAAUCUGUCGAUAAGAUCUAGAGCCUAACCUUUAAAUGGCCAUGGCUUAAUUAUAACAUGCAGUUCUGAUGCUGGAAUAUGUUGAAGGCUUCCAUGUUUUUGGCAUUUUUCACAGGACCUAGCAUAAUUUAUACAAUCUCUUUGAAUAGUUGGCCAAUACAAUCUUCUCCUAUUUAUCACCCAUUUCAUUUUUUCCCCUGAUUGAUGGGCACCACAAAUUCCCUCAUGUACUUCAGCAAGAGCCAAAUACGCUUUUUUUUCUCCCAAACAUGUCAAGAGGUUUCCAUCAACAGAUUUCUUAAACAAGACAUUACUUAUUAGAACAUAACUUUGAGCCCUAUAUUUAAGUUUUCUAUCGACACUAAGACUUGGAUUUUUUAAAUAUUCUACAAUUGGUACUCUCCAAUCUUCUGGAUCUAGUUUUUCUAAUGACAACACUUCUCUUUCUCUCAAAGGCAUAAAUAUGUCCUUUAUCCUUACCAAUUUUUCUAGUGUUGAGGGCUUGAUCUUAUAUCUUGAAGCAAUUUGAGCUAAUUCAUUUGCUUCUUGAUUUAACUCCCUUGGAACAUGCCUUACAAUGACAUUAUCAAAUUUACUCAACAACUCUGUAGCCACAUUGAAAUACUUUCUUAAAUUUUCACUAACACACCUAUAUUCAAGUGAUACUUGACGGACUACAAGCUGUGAAUCUCCAAAAAUUUCCACAUUUUUAACUCCUCUUUCUAAUAAUAAUUCCAGUCCCAUUAUUAAUGCUUCAUACUCUGCCUCAUUGUUGGAACAUGAAUAAUUCAAUUCAAAGAGAAAUUUACUUGGCUCGCCACUUGGAGAAAUAACUAAAAUUCCUAUACCAACACCACCCUUAUGGCAUGAACCGUCAAAAUAUAAUUUCCAAGGCACCAAACCAACGAAACCCAAUAAACUCUCAUCAAUGUCAAUACAAGGAUGAUCAACCAGGAAAUCAGCUAGAACCUGACCCUUAACGGCUCUUGCAGGAACAAAAUGUAAAGAAAAUUCCGUUAAGGCCAGCAUCCAUUUUCCUAGUCUACCAUGCAAUAUUGGAGAAGACAACAUAUAUUUAAGAACAUCAAACCUAGAAAUUACAUAAACAUUCCUAGGAAUUAAAUAGUACUUAAGUUUUAAACAAGAAAAAUAUAAAGCUAAACAAAGUUUCUCAAUUGGAGAAUAACGGCUCUCAACAUCAUUUAGCACACGACUUAGAUAAUAAAUCGCUCUUUCGUUGCCAUUCUCAUCUUCUUGAGCCAGCAUUCCACCAAUUGUUACUUCAGAAGCUGACACGUAAAGUUUUAGAGGUGCUCUAUGCCUUGGAGGUGUCAUAAUAGGAGGAUUAGUCAAAUACUGCUUGAUGUUGUCAAAAGCUUCUUGAUGCUCUGUUUUCCAUUGGAACUCUUCCUCUUUUUUCAACUUGAUCAGAGGCGCAAAAACUUUGAUUUUUCCUGACAGAUUGGAAAUGAACCUUCUGAGGUAAUUGACCUUCCCUAAAAAUGCUUGCAGUUGCUUUUUGUUAGCUGGAGGAGGAGCCUCUAAGAUAGCCUUUGCCUUAUUUUUGUCAACUUCAAUCCCUUUUUUCUGCACCAAGAAACCAAGAAAAUUCCCUGCACUCACACCAAAUGCACAUUUUAAGGGAUUCAUUUUUAAUUUAUGCUUUCUCAUUCUUUCAAAUGCUUUUUUUAAAAUUUUCUAAAUGCUCUUUUUUAGCAUUUGAUUUGACAACCACAUCAUCAACAUAAAUUUCCAUAAAAUUUCCAAUAAAGUCAUGAAAAAUUUUAUUCAUCGCCCUUUGAUAAGUUGUACUAGCAUUUUUUAGCCCAAAUGGCAUCACAACCCAUUCAAAAGUUCCUAAAGCACCUGGACACCUAAAUGCUGUUUUUGACACAUCUUCUUCAGCUAUGUAUAUUUGAUUAUAACCUGAAUAUCCAUCCAUAAAACUUAACAUUUCAUGACCAGCAGUAGAAUCUAUCAACAUAUCAGCUAUAGGCAUUGGAUAUUCAUCUUUUGGUGUUGCAGAAUUUAAAUAUCUAAAAUCAAUGCAAACCCUUAAUUUUUCAUUCUUUUUCAUGACAGGAACAAUAUUAGAAAUCUAGUUGACAUACCUUGUUGUUCUUAUAAACUUAGCCUUAAGAAGUCUUUCAAUCUCUUCUUUAAUCUUCUGCACGACUUCAGGAGCAAAUCUCCUUGGUGGCUGCUUGACAGGUUUAACAUUGGCUUUCAAUGGCAAUUGAUGUUCUACUAAUUCACGACUCAAGCCUGGCAUCUCUGCAUAAUCCCAUGCAAAACAGUUGCAAUAUUCCUUCAAAAUCUCCACCAUUUCUUUUUUGAAAUCAUCAGGCAGCAUCUUGCUCACAUAUGUUGGUCUAGGAUAAUCACCGUUACCAAUAUCUACUUCCUCCAAAGGAUCCUGCACUUCAACCUUUUUUUAUAGUGUCAGUGUUAUUUUUUUCAAAACCUAAAGGACCAUCAUCAUAUAUACAAUCAUAAGGUACACUAUCAAUGCACCCUUCUCUGUCUGCCAUAUAGGCUGACAGUCGAGCCAGUUGGCUCGUCAAGCUCAUCUAAGUUUCUCCUGAGGCCGUAUCCGCCCCGGCCUUAUGGACCAAAAUAAAACUAUUCAUAUCUAUUUUGCACAUCUCAAUAUUUUCAGGAUUAAAUGCAUUGGUGUCAACUGUCAGCGGCUUGACUCCAGGAUUAUACAUCUUAAACUCCACAUGCAUCUCAUCGUAGUAACAGGUACUAUUGUCAGCAAGAACUUCUUCCACUCCUCCAUCUUCAUUCUAGAAAAUCAAUUUUUGAUGUAAAGUGGAUGGAAUAGCACCCAUUCCAUGAAUCUAAUCAUGUCCCAAAAGCAAGUUAAAACCAGCCUUUGAAGGAACCACAACAAAUAGAGUUGGCCUAUUGACAGAACCAACUUCAAUUGACAGCAGAACCACACCUCUAACAGAAGAAGUCUUUCCAUUAAAAUCUGUCACCCCAAUGCUACUUUUAAUCAGAUAUUUUUCAGUCUUUCCAAGCCUUCCCAUCAUUCUUUCAGGUAUGAGAUUAACAGCAGCUCCUCCGUCAACCAAAAUCUUAUUGACUAUCCUUCCGUCAACACGAGCCUUGAUAUGCAGUGGACGCAAGUGUUCCUUAUCAUUUUUAGUAGGCUUCUCAAAUAAUCCUCCACCACACAUAUUGUCAUCUAGCAAUAAGCAUUCGCUUCCAGGGAAGACAUCAUAACAAUCAUCUUCUAAUGACUCUACUUCCUGGACUUGACUAUACUCCUCAGGUAGUAUUGACACCACAGCUAUAGGUUGCUUAACACCAAAUAUUGCUUCUAAGCUGUCAUCAAAACCAGUGUCAAAAUUAUCAGUAAUUAAAUCUUCAUCAUUUUCUCCCUUGUUUUCAACCAUUACCUUCUUCCCAGCAAGAUUCUUCUUGACAUUUUUAUUGCAUUUAGGGUGAUUAGAAGAAUUGCCUGUUUCUACAGACUUGGCCAUGGUUGGCAAAGGAGGAAAAUCUACUCCGUGUCCCUUGUAUGGAUCCAAAGGAACAUACUCAGGUAUAUUCUCUUUCUGCUCAAAAGUUGUAAAAGGAGAAUAUUUUAGAAUAUUUUGACAAUUUGGCUAAGGAGAAUAAUUAGGAACCUACUGCAUGUUAGGAUUAUAACAAGAAUAAAUUGGCUUUGAGGGAAUAGGCACAUUUUUUGGAAUAUAUAUACUACCUCCAUCUUGUGCAUGAUUCAUGUUCCAUAACUGAGACUCAUAGUACCUGGGCUUGAAAGGUCUAGGCUUCACCCAUUUAUUUUUUCCUCUUGCAAAAGUAGUAGGUUGAUUCUGCAAAUUUCUCACAUUCUGGACCCAUUUAUUGUUUGAAAUUUUGGUGGGAGGAACUCUUGUCUUUUGAGAAAAUCCAUCAAGUUUUCCAUCAAUCAUGACCACAGUCUUCAUCUUCUAGUUGACGGGUUGUACCCCAGUGUUGUUGACGCACUUGUUCAAAGGAGUUUGACCGCCCAACUUUUGUUUUCCCUCGGCUAUUUUACGCUUUAGCUCGUUAGUUUCAUUUUCUUUUUCAGCAAUCUUCUUUCUCAACUCAGCCUUUUCUUUCUCUUCAUCUUUGUACUUUUCAAACUCUUUUGCAGCUUCCUUGUCAAAAAUAGCAUUGCACUUUGGGCACAUGGAGAUGGUGCUGUCAGAUUCUUUAAUUCUCAACAAAAAAUCUAACAGAUCCUUACCAAGACGAGGAUAAACUGGCUUCUUAUCUUGCUCAAGACUCUCAGGUCUUUAUUUUCAUCUUUAGCACUAACCAUUGUGGCAUCAACUUCUACCAUGUUGAUUGACAAAUUGAAUGGCUCAACAUAAUUUGAGUCAGCAGCAAAUGGCUCAGUGUCUACCUGCAUAGUAGUUUUAUCCUCAAACUUCAAUCUUCCCUCCUCAAUUGCUUUUUAUAUCAAGUCCCUGAAACGGACGCAAUUAUUAAUGGUGUGUGAAAAUACCUGAUGAAACUUACAAAAUUUCUUAUUCUUUAUUUCAUCAGCUGAAGGCAUCUUUUUUCCUUCUGGUAAAAUAAGCUGUUUAUCUUUUAAUAAAACCUCAAAUAUUUGAUCUUCCUUAGAAAUAUCAAAAGAAUAAGUCUUAUUUUCAACUUUAGAAUAAGAAGAAAAUUUUUUUUCCUUUAACAGGCUUCAAAGAUUUGCAUACAUAAGGAGGACCCCCACGUAAUUCAGCAAUAUAAAUAUCUUUCUCAUCUGAAUCACUACUAUCAGAAAAACAAUCAACAUAUGCAACCUUUUUUGAACCCUUUUUAAACUUUUCUUUUUCUUUCUUAAUUUGUUCUAUCUGCCUUACUCUUUUAGCUAACCGGGAAAGAUCUAAAGUAUGUUGAUUGACAAGUUUCUUCCUAACUCCAAAUUCUAACCCAUUAGUAGCCAUCUUGACAACUUCAGUUUCCGGGAUCGGAGUAAAACACUUAUUUCUCAUGUUUCUAAAUCGCGCUAAAUAAGUAUCAAUGGAUUCUCCUUCUACACGUUUGACAGAGAAUAAAUCCAUAAGACUAACUUUCAAUUCACCUCGAAAAAACUGAUCAUGAAAAUUUCUUUCUAACUGCGCCCAAGAAUGAAUAGAAUUUGGUCUCAAGUUGGAGAACCAUGUAAAUGCAUUUUUUGUUAAAGAAGAAGGAAAGUAUCUCAUCUUGAGAUAUUCAUUAGAAGCUGCUUCCCCAAUUUCAACAGUAUAUCGAGCAAUAUGCUCUACUGUAGACUCAUUUUCUUCUCCAGAAAAUUUUGUAAGGGAUUUUGGAAUUUUCCAACCCCUUGGGAGCUCUGCUUGUUGGACACAUUCAGGAAAAGCAGACACAAAAUAUGGCCUAUUUAAGCAACUAACAUUAAAUCCCAAACGGUUUAAAACUUGUUCAACAUUUCUUGCUAGAUUAUAAUGCCCCCCUAAGUUGUUUUGCCUAAGUCUUUCUAACAUAUCAUCAGCAUUUUGACCAUGUCUAGGCAUAUGGACAUCAUAAUUAGGAAUCGCUCCACCAUUUUGAUUGACAUUAUCAAAUCUUAAACUCUGGUUAUCAUUUUCUUCUAAAUUUACCAUAGUAGCAAUCCUAUUAACUUGCCUAUUUAAUUGUUCAAUUCUAGUGUUUGUGUUUUCUAAAAGAGGAUUUAAAACUGUCACCGUUUGAUGAGUUAACAUGUUUACUAGAUCAUGGUGAUUUUCAUCCAUCUAUUGCCUAAUAUUUGCUAAAGAUCCCACAGUUUGACUAGGUUGAUUAACAGGCAUUGCUCUUGACAUGUCAGGAAAUACAGGUCUAGAAUUUUCUACCCUAGUGACAGUGGAUGUAGUAGAAUUAGAUGCACUGUUAUUUCCUGUAUUAAUAGAAUGUGAAAAAUUUUGUUGUGAUAUGUGUGAACCUGACGCCCCAGAAACAGGUACAUUUGACAUGCCAUAUGGAUUUUGAAAAGUUGAGUAGAGAGGCACAGGCAAUCCUUGUGUCACCAUGGAGGGGACAUACCCCGGUGGCAAGCCAUAUGGCGGCCACCCCACGGUAUUUAUGUGAGUUGCAUUUAACCUUGUAUGGGCAUGGCCAACGCCAUCAUGCCUCACUGACAUCAAGGUAGGCUCUGCGUUUGAAACCACAGGAGAAUUUCCGGAUUCAUUUCCUUUAAUCUCAUCACUAGAAGUAGAAGAAGAUGCUGCAGAAGUAUUUGACAUGUCAACUGACACUGAUUUCCUUGGCUCUGGACGCACGAACUUACCACUGCGCAACCACAUUCAAAUUCAAAACUCUUGAUUUUUCUUUUGACAAACUACACUUUAUUGACAAAGUCCCACCGGUCGUGCCAAUUUGUUUUACUCAAAUUUUUGUUCCAUUGUUAACAACAAAUAAAUCAACAAUUUUCGAGUUUUGUUUCACAAUCUUAAUUUAAGGAGCGGAAACGACUCCUUUUGUGGAUGUCUCAAGGUCUCAAUUGUAGUUUCGAAAGUAAAAUUAAAGAUGAAAAGAAAACAUGCAAGGUGCCGGAGGCAAAGUAAAAUGCAGAAAUUAAAACAAACAGGAAAUUAAAAAGAAGAUGAAGGAAGAAACAUGAACGUAAAAGAGAAAAAGACGUAAAAGUAGAGAAAUUUUAUUAAUAAAAACUGGAAAAAAGCAAAGUACAAGUGUUUGAGUUCAGAGGAAUUACUUAAGAUUCCCAAUUUUACUCUGUGAUGCCAAGGGGCUGAGAGCGUUUUUUGAGUUUCUAAGCGUUUUUCAAGAAGAACUGAACUGCCUACAAUAUUUUUCUAAAGCUCUAUUUAUAGACUAACCUAAUGUCAGCUAACAGUUACCAUUUGUACACCACUUGCGAAAAAUUUAAAUUUCUUGUAACUGUUCCCGCACCUCUUGUGAAUUUCAAAAGUUAAAUAGAUAGCUGUUUUACUCAAAUUUUAACGCUCCAUGUUGAUAACUACUCCUGCAUAUAACACGUCCUAUAAUUCAGGCUUAAUUCAAAUUUUGAAUAAAAACUGCUUCUUUGCUAGUGAAUUAGAAACUUCUCCUAAUAUAUUGAAUCUGGCUUCAUAAGUUAAUAAUAAUAUUAUCUUAUAUUUAUUUACUUAAAACAAAUUAUUUUUUCCUAAGUGAUAAUAAUUUUUUACCUAACAGUAACAUAAAUGAAUAAAAUAAUUUUAAAAAGGGUCAGAAGUAAAUAAAUAACAAGGUCCAGUUUAUAAUUUAACAAUACAUUUUUUCUACAAUUUAUUAGGGAUGUCACUGCGUUUAGUUUAGUUUUUAUCAUAGAUAUAUUAUGUUCGUUCCAAAAAAAAAAGCAAGUUUCUUAAAUUUUUGCCCUUAUUUGUUAUUUUUGUGCAAAUAAUAUCCUUUAAUUGCAAUUUAUAAAAAAAAAACAAAAAAAUAAAUACUAAUUAAAUCAUAAUAAUUGACAUAAUAUACUCAAAAGAUAACAAUUUUAAAUGAAUGUAUUAGGGAUGCAUUGAAAUUAAGUUUUCGUCCUUUUUUAGGCAUAAUCAAAAUUCUAGAUAUCUUUGAAAUGUCAAUUUUUUUAAACUAAUAAUUUUAUCCAAUUUUUUCUAUAAUAAAAUUGGUGGCGACUCUAUUAUUUAUAUUAUUUUUUUUUUGUCACAACCUCAUCGUAUGUGUAGUCCGUUUUGAGCACAUUGUAACAUCUAACAUAUUAUAUUUAUACUAUUUUUAAAUCUUCUUAAUUUAAUUAUCUAACAUUAUAUCCCUUAAACUAAGCUUACAAAAUUAAUCAUUUCCGGCAUCUCCUUCAACUUGUUAAAUAUCUUGGUUUUAAACAAUUUUGUAAAGAUAUCUACGACUGUACUUAAUCUUUAGUAGGACAAUACUCAAUUAAAAUUUCUUUCUCAUUUACUAAUUAUUUAAUUUUGUGAAAUCAAAUAUCAAUAUACUUUAAUCUUCCACGAAAUACAAGAUUUUUACAAAGUGCAAUAACUAACUUGUUAUUACAAAAUAUCGUUGUUAAAGUACUUUAUUUCUUGUUCAAUUUCUCAAUAAUUCUUUUUACCUAUAUUGCCUGUGUUGCAUAAUUUAUUGUUGUUAUAUAUUCUACUUUUACGGUAGAGAAUGCUACUACUGAUUAUUUUUCGAAGACUAUGAAAUUACACCAGAAUCAAAAUGAAAUGCAAACUUUGAAGUACUUUUUCUUGUUUCAAUAUCUUCAAUCCAAUCACUCUCAGUGUAAUCAACAAGAUUUAUUUCAUUAGUAUUUUCAUAAAAAAAUACCAUCAUUUAAAGUACCUUUGAUAUAUCAAAGAAUCCUUUUUGCCGCUUGCAAAUAGAGCGUCAAAAUGGGUUAAACUUAUAUGGCCAGCCUAUUUAUCCAUUUAAAUGGGUGGGAUUUGUCCCUAAAAAUUAAGUUCGUUUAAAUUUCAGGUUAAAUGGACUGAGCCCAAUUAACUCGAAAAAAAAAAUGAGGGGUUAAAUGGGCUAGUCCAUCGGUUAAAUGGACGAUCCAUUUAUUUAUUUAUUUUUUAAAAAAAAUAGCAUUUUUAGCCGAUAUUUUUAUUGAUUCAACCCGAAAUCUGACCCAUCGACUAAAAAAAUACUAAUUGUUUAAAGUUUUUGACCUAAAAGUAAUAUUGUUUGUCAAAAUAUUUUUCAAAAAUAAAAUAAAAUGAUAAACGGACCAACCCAUUUAACCGAUCGGACUAACCAUAAAUGGUAUGGGCUAAAAAUUAUGGCCUACGAAUAAAGCGAACUUAAACGGGUCAGGCAUAAAUAGUUCGGAUUGGCCCGUUUGACAGCCCUACUUUCAAAUAGUUGAUACAAGACUCCUCCAUAAAUCUGCUAAGCAAUCCAACUCUAAACAUAAUAUAUUGUCUAGUUGCAGUUAAGUACCUCAGACUUUUAAUCAAGCUUUUGUAAUAAGUAGAAUUUAUUAUUCUUCUUUUAUCUCCUCUUAACAACUUAAACUUUUCUUCGAUCGGAGUAGGAACUGAUUUGGAAUGUACCAUAUGAAAUUUCUUCAAAAUAUCAUUUGCAUAUUUGUUCUGUGAAAUAAAAUAUUUCGUCAUCUUUCUAAAUGACUUCGAUGUCGAGGAAGUAAGACAUCAAACACAUAUCUCUCAUUUCAAAUUGCUUUAUCAUAACCUCUUUGAAUUAUGCAAUUAUCUUCAAAUUUUUACUAGUAAAGAUCAAAUCAUUAAUAUAAAGGCACAUAAUUAAGAUUUAUCUAGAUUCAACAAACUUGAUAUAAAGAGUAUAUUCAAAUGUACAUCUUCUGAAACCAUUUUGAGUGAAAAAAGAAUAAAUAAUUUUUUGUAUCAUGCUAUUGUUCUUUGCUUCAACCUGUACAAAAUUUUCUUCAAUCGAUAAACUGUACCUUCUUCUUCGCUCUUCAGGAAUUUCAUAUCUUGCAAGUUACUCAACAUACACUUUUUCUUUUAAAGUGUCAUUUAAAAAUGCAGAUUUAAUAUACAUUUGAUAUAUCUUCUAUUUAUUUUGAGCCGAUAGUGAACUAAUCAUAUGGAUAGUGUCUAAUAUAGCAACAAGAGUAAAUACUUUAAAGUAGUCAAUACUUAAUUUUUAUUUGUAUCCCUUAGCAACUAAUAUUACUUUGAAAUGAUCAACUUCACCGUUGGAAUUGUAUUUAAUUUUGUAAACCUACUUUACUCCAAUUGACUUUUUAUUUGUUGGUAAAUCUAUCAGCUCCCAUAUGUCAUUCUUCUCAAUGGCAUGAAUCUCUUCAUGUAUUAUUUUUUUUUCAAUUGUUGCCUCUAGAGACUUCUUCAAAGUUCAAUGGCUCACAAUUUGAAAAUAAAGCAAAGUUGACGAUUUCUUCAUCAAAUAGAUCAUCAUCGUUGCCAACUUUAUAAUCUGCCAAUCUAGCAGGUAGUCUACUUUUUCUUUGAGGUAUUCUAGAUGAUUUUAGUUGUUUAGUUGUGUUAGGUUGUCUUUCUUCUAAUUUAUCACAUGAAUUUGAAAUUACAAUUGGCUGCUUUCUGUUCCAAUCCCAAAUAUCUUUGUCGUCAAGCGUCACAUUUUUUGCUAAUGAUCAUCUUCUUUGAUUCUGGAUUAUACAACUUGUAUACUUUUGAGUCUGUGCUAUAGCCAUUAAAAAUACACUUUUCGCUUUUGUCAUCUAACUUCUUUCUUAAUUGAUAUGGAACAUGGGUAUAAGCAAUACACCCAAAGAUUUUGAAAAUGAUUAAUGGAAGGCUUCUUUCCACUCCAAACUUUCUAUGGAGUUUUAUUACGGACAUUUUUUAUUGGAUAUCUGCUAUAUACUAAAAUAUGAACUGUUGUUGCGACAUACAUGAAUAUACUUUCUAUAUACUAAAAUAUGAGAAUGCUUUAUAACAAUAGAAAGUAUAUCCAUGUAUAUCUACUAAAAUCAUUAAUAAAAGUGAUAAAGUACUUGCUACUACCAUUGCUUGGAAUGUCAACAAAACAAAGAUCUGAAUGCACCAUUUCAAGCAAUCUUCAAGCUCUCCAUGACUUUUCUGUAGAGAAUGGAUCUCCGUGCGUCUUUUUCAGUUGACAAAUCUCACAAACACAAUUAGGAAUAUGAAUCUAUGGAAACAAGUCUUUUUUUUUACAGGUAAUUUAGGCCAGAAAAAUGAAAAUGCACACCGCAUAUGCCACAGUCAGCUAUCAUCAAGUAUUACAGAACUCAUGCAAGAAGGAUUAACAUGUUAAAUUUUCAAUGAAAACAUUAUGUUUGAAGUCAUCUUUACUUUAUCUAUGAACUUUUUGUUGUUGUCAAAUAUUAUGCAAAUAUCCACUAUAUAUUAUUAUCUUUUAUCCGUUCUCAAAUAACUGUCCCAUACUCAAUAAAUUUUAAUCAAGUUUAGGAGUAUAGAAAACAUAAAAAAUAUAACUCAGAAAACCAUCAUUCAAUCUAAUUGGUCUUUGCUCUUUUCCUUCAAUAAGAAUUUUGUACUAUUAUCAAAUUGCAAUAGGAAUUUUUCUACCAGACAUAUGAUUAUCACGACCAUUAUCCAAGUAUUAUAUAUUUUUAUCUUCAGCAUAUGAAUCCCUUGUAAAAAAUAAAGUUUGAAUAUCUGAAUUAUGAUCAGUAUUUUGUUGUUGAUUUUCUGCAACGUGUACUUAAUUAUUAUUCAUCAUUUUAAUUUUGCAAUCUGCCACUUUGUAUCCAUACUUUCUACAAUAAAAACAGUUGAAAUUAGUUCAUUCUUGAUAAAAAUGCAUCGACUUCUUCUUCGGUUGACAAACCUGAAAUUUGUUCCACCUUCUCCUUGAUUAGGUAGUAUAAAAUUACUAUAACUUUAUGGCUGUAAUUUCUAUGACCCCUGUCUCUAGAACUUCCUCUACCUCUACUUUAAAAAUUGAAAGCACGGUCUCGUCCUUCUUGUGUACAGCUUGAUUCUGCACCAUUGUUUAAAUUCACUCGGCUUUUCACGGCUUCUUGAGUUGAUUUUUCUAACUUCUCUAAUAUUCUGCUAAUGUGGCUUUACAUGGCUCCUUGCAACUUUGCAAUCAUCAUAGUAUCCAUAUCAUGAGACUCUAAUAUUGUAAUCGCCACAUGACCAUACUUCAUCAGCAUAGUGCAAAAAAUUUUUUCCACCGCUUUAUUAUUGGGAAUAUCUUUUUUUUAGACUCUUUCUAUUUGUAACACGAAAAAAAUAUUGCUCAACAGUUUUUGAGUUAGACAUUAUCUCGUAACUUUUAUAUUCUAUUCUCAAAGACUGUAGCUUUAUUUUUUGGGCUUUAUCUAUGUCUUUGUAUGACAGUUUAAAAUUCUACAAGUUUCUGAACCUUCAAAUGGGUAGACAUCAAAGUCUCCUGGUAAUCAAAUUUCAUCUAAUUUGAAAACAGACCACACAACAUUAAAAGUGUUUGCUAUACUAACUCUAUGAACAAACAACUAUGUGAGAACUCUCCCACACCUCACAAAUUUUCAAACACUUGUAAGUAUAAUAUCCACACUUUAUUGGUCUCAGGACCAACUCACUCACUUAAAUAAUACUAACAUUUUUUAUCUUUCAAACUCACUAACACACUCACAAAAGAAGAGAGAAAUUUUAAUAACUGAUUAAAAUACGUGGGUUCAAGCUUAUAUAUGGACAAAGUUUUAAAAUAAAAUAAUAAUUUUUAUAACAACGAAGUACGGUUAUAAUAUUUUAUUAAGUUAGUAAAAAUUUUGACUAAUCAAAUUUUUUAUUCAAAUUUGUUUUAAAUUCUUCAAAUUUAGUCCAACUUGAAAUUUUCAAUUUAUGAUUCUUCGUUCUUCAUGAAUAUUGUGUUGUCUUGCACUAGAAAAAUAAUUUGAUUCUUGUAGUUUCUACCACCUUCUAAUUUAGCAUGCAACUUAAUUUUUAAUUUUAAUUCAAUUUGAUUUUAAAUUUUUUUAAUAUUCUAGCUUUAUUAAAUAUAAAUACUAUAACUUUUAAAAAAUCAUAUAUAAAAAUUAAUUUUUAUAAUCUAAUUUUAUAAAAUAAUUUUUUUUAUCAAACUAAGCCUAACUUAACUCAAUUGGUUAUCAGUAUUCACCUUUUAUUUUAUGUACUAACAUUUAUCAAUUAUCAUACCACUUCGUUAUGCCUCUAUUUUGUUUCUUAUGCACCUUCUCCUUUUGUUUAACUUCUCUAAUAGUAUUUCAUAUUACCAUUUUAGAAAUAUUUGAUAAAAAAAAAAGAAACAAAAAUAAUUACAAGAUAAAUUCUAACUAUAUUUUUUUUUUGUUUUUACAGCAGUACCAUUAUCCAUUAAGGUUAUAUAACUUUGCAAUCAAUUAUGAAGGAAUCCAUACCCUAAUUUGAUCCUUUUAAUUUAUUAAACUAUAUUAAAUAUAUAUUAAAAUUAUCUAAAAAUAUAUAAUACAUAAAAAUAAUUUUUUUUGUGACUAAAGAAAAAGAAAAUAAAUUAAAACAUAUAUAACUAAUUUUAGUACUCACUUGUUAUUUUUGUAAUUUAAUUAUUAUCCCAAAAUAAAGUUAUUUAACCAACACCGGCGAGAGAGACUGUGAGCCUCAAUAACAAUCAAAUCCAUCCAUCAUCCAUUGCUAUGGCUUCCUCUAACGGUCAACAAAACAAGUAUUCUCCUUCUAGUUCUACUAUGAUCCGUUUCUUCAAGGUUAUUCUCAGAAAAACUCUUCAAGAUGAAAACUUUGUAAGCAUUUUCUCGUUUUUUUCAUCUCCUCUUCUUUCUUUUAAACUGUUUAUCUUUUGAGAUAUUGUUCAGUUCAACAAUAGUUUCUCUCUUUAUUACCCUGUAUAUGAUUUUUUUGUUUAUAAACACUUUCCUCAUAGAACAACACACAUGCAUGGCUUCUUAGCUGCAAAGAUAGUAAUAGUAAGCUCUUUAAAAUUAAUAGUAUUACUAUUCAUUGCUUCUUGUUAUCUAAAUCAUUUUUCAUUAGCAAUAAUAUGGGCUUAAUUAUAAUUAAUUUUGCAGCAAAAAUAGAUAAAAAAAAAAUACAUAAGAUGAAAUGAAAACCUAAAAUUAUAUUUGUUAAGUGGUUACAUCUUAUGUACUCCUAAUGUAUUCUUACUACAAAAUUAAUUACAAUUAAAUCUACAUUAUUGUUAAUGAAAAAUGAUCAGGUUACACUUUCACUAAUCAUUUUUCAUUGUGCAUGAGUUCUGAUUCUUAUCAUUACUGAUUUGGUCCCUACUGAUUUUCAUGUUGGACAAUUCCGUCCUUAACAUUUUUUUUAUUUCACUUCUAGUCUCUAACUAUGCAAAUCAUGUUGCAAAAUAGUCCUUUGAGAUUUGAAAUUAGUCUCUCCUUUAAAAUAGGUGAAAGAUUAAUCUUUACCUACAUACAAAAUUUAGGACUAAUAUACUUGGACUAUUUUAUUGCACUAUUUAUAAUGAUCAAUGAAGGAUGAAUUGGGGGGUUUAAUAUUACUAUAUGAUAGCUUGACAUAUUUGAUUAAAUUAUUUAACAUAAUACAUGUUAACAUCUUGGUGAAGACAUGCUAAUGUCUAUCACCUUACUGUUAAUAUGGUUAUUAACAUCAAGUUCAUAACAUUGCAGAAAUUACCAAAAAAGUUCACCAGAAAAUAUGGUUCUGGCCUAUCAAACCCAUUGUAUCUUAAGCCUCCAGAUGGUACUGAAUGGAGAGUAAAUUGGACCAAUCAUGAUGGUAGAACUUUGUUUAAAAGAGGUUGGAAAGAAUUUGUUGCAUAUUACUCUCUUGAUGAUGGCCAUGUGUUAUGGUUUGAUUAUAAUAUUGGAACUUCUCACAUUGAAGUACAAAUAUUUGACAUGAGUGGCCUCCAAAUAGAGUAUCCUGCCAAUGAUCAGAUCAAAGAACACCCGCCACAACACAGGGUCCAGCCGGUGGAAAGGCCAAAAGAACAACAAACUAGAGACGUGGAUAGCAGUCCCAACACUCAGAAC
rnacentral:lncRNA from 1 species